GAUCGAUGACGAUUAUACCUGAUCAAAGGUCAAUGGUCACCGGUAGGUGCAGCUUUUCACUUUCAAUAAAAUUGAAAACAGAUUAGGAAAACUGGAAGUACAUAACUACUAUUUAGCUAUGCAUGUGCACACGCAACAGACAGGUGAUACAGUACAAACAUUCAAUUCAGAAUAGGGAAACAUGAGUUACACGCCCUAAAUUAAAGGCAUGCAGAAGCAAGCUACUAGGGAUUCUGAGCUCGAUAAUAACCAUAAUUUUAGGCGUCGGUAGUAGAACCGACAGUCGUCCGAUAUGACUGCUGAUAUCUUAUAAGCUGCUCGCCAGCUUCUUCUUCCUGAUCAUCAUCAUGAUUGGCUUGUUUAUUGAUGUUUGAAGCACUAUUGCAUGGAUGCUUCAUGGACUUCUUACUGACCACUUUCUGAAAUUGCUGCAUUUUCUUGCUAACAGAAGAGGUGGCCUGACCGCGGAGCUUGUCUUGAACCUGAUCAUCAUCAGAAUGUUGAUUAUAACGAUGAAAUCGUCGUGAAGCAGGACGAGGGGAAGAAGAUCUGGCAUCUGAAGUCAUGGAAUCAUCGCUCUCUGUACCGUCAUCAGCCCUGUCUCCAAUGUAAUUUGUCCAGCCUGACUCAGAAUCCGCGAAGGACUCAGAAUCAGCUGUGCUACAAUAUUCUGUUGACAGCGCUUUCAACGAUGAAAAGUAUGCCAUACUGUUGUUCUAGUAGCUAGGGGGACAUAAAAUAUGGAGCACCUUGCACUGAUUUUAUUCGACUUGGCAGACUAUUAUAUAUAGAUAGACUGACAUUGAUAUAGCGCUCAAAUAGUACAGGUGACAAUGAUUUCAAGGGUUCAAGAUAAAAACAAAAAAAAAAUAGAAGAAUAAUUAACAUCAAGAUGUAUCCUACAUGUCACUAAUUUAGCCAACUUGAUACAGAGGUGAGCCUCUGUUUGUAGAUCUUUAAUACUAUUGCUGAUGAACAGAUUAAUUUGUCACAAAAAUUAACUACAGAAGUUAUCCACCAAAGCGAUGGUGGAGGGAACACAAGGGACCAUGCAAAACUAAUGGGGAAAUGAGGUAAUAAGAGUAGAAAUGCAUAUAGUCUCACUCCGACCGGGGCAAAAGCGUGUACUUCUUAACAUCCUCAGACCCUAUUUUAGUCUACUUUAGAAUGCGUGUACUUCUUAACAUCCUCAGACCCUACUUUAGUCUACUUUAGAAUGACACUCUAUUUUAGCAUGUUUAAAAGCUUACUUCAAAGUGAGACAUGUUAAGAGUUGGUUUAAUUUGUAUAUUCUAUAAAUUAAAUACAAACCAACUUAAUUUAAAUGUUUAGAUAACGGGAAGCGUUGCGGUGUCCGGGUCCGGAGAUGAACACUGAAGUAAACCUAGAAAGGGUCUAUUAAAAUCUGAAUCGGGACGGGUCUUGUGAAUCAGGUAUUUGAAGUUUGGGUUGUCUAGAGCUUGUUUGAAAUCUUUGUUAUCUAGAACUUGUGAUAAGAGGCCGAUGAUAUUACAUUGAGAUGAUGUCAUUUUGGUUUAUAUUUUAGUUUUUGUUUUAAAAGUCUUUAUCUAAACAGGGUCAAAAAAAAAAAAUAUCUAUAAGUUCUUGAAAUAAGGUGAAGAGGGAAAUUUUAGUUAACGUUUUUAAUUGUUAUUUCUUAUCACAGCACUGAUGGGAACACGAUAACUAAAAGUCUAAAACCUUUCAUCUGUUCUUGCUGACCUCUGUUUUAUCUGCAAAUUUUUGGCUUAAAUACGAUGAUAUAAGAUGAAAAUUGUCAACACAAGUUUAAUCUAGUCGUAGUAGUUGCACUAUUAUUUACAUGUGUGAGGGCUCAACUAAGUUGUACAUAGCGUUACCUAAAAUACUUUAUCUAAAAUACUUUUCUUUAUUCAAAAGGAUUAAAUGAAUGAUAACAUUAUUACAAUACCUACAACAAUGUUACAUCUAUUUUAUUACAAGUAUCGUUAAUUCCUUCUUGGAGUGUAUCAAUCACACAUUCAAGUCUCAAAACUUAAGUUUUUUUAUAUGUAAAAUUAUAUCUACCGUAAGCGGACAGUAUCAGUUGUAAACAGAAAUUAAAAAAUACAGGUCAAAUCGAUCAAUAGACGGGGUUUCAAGAUAUUUCAUUUAAUUAUUAUAAAUUUCUUCUAGAGAAAAAAAUGAUUGGUGAAUAAUUUUAAUUAACUACUAACACAAAUUAAAAAUGUUUUAUAUCAAUUAACUAAAGUCUAGUUCAAUAUAUUCAGGUUUAUCAUGCUUACGCCAAAGCUUGUGAUGUGAAUAUUGCAAAUCAGUGGGUCGUGUAACUAAUUAAAGAAAUUAAUUGGUAAUCUCUCUCAAACAUUAACGCUCUCGAAAAUUCACUCAUAUUCUCGUAUUUAAUUUCAAUUCCGCCAAUUAUAUGUGUGCAUCUAGGAGUAUAUCUCUCGAUCAAACCCAUAUUUGCGUAAGCUUAAUCCAUGACAUUAACCAAGUACACAGACUAAAUAUAUAACAUAUCGAUUACAAUUACACUUUAACCAUUAAACUAAUAUCACAUUAAAGCAUAGUUAUGGUAUAAACAUGGUUUCCUUUAUGUCCUAAAAUGAAACUACUACUCACACAUGGUAGAAGUAAAAACAACAAGAUCUAUAAUAAACACCAUAUAUUAAUAAAACAAGAGAAUAUUCAAUACCUUAAACUUAACGUUAAUCGAGAAAAUAAGGUCCAAACUUGAUAAUCUAUUUGUUUUGGAAGAGAGGAAGUAAAAACCUAAAACCCUAGCUAGAGCUUCUGUAUAUAUCCAAAAACUAAUAAUAAAACUAAUUCUAUUAUUUUGUCUUAUCUCCAAUAAUAAUUAUAUAUACCACAUACUUCACAAAACUGAUUAUCCAGAGGAGUCGUAGAAUAUAAUACAUUAAUACUCGUAGGUUGAAUAUUAAAGGCUUGUGUAGUCUUUAGCGGGUGAAUAUCAUGAACUAACGCAACAAGUUAAUAUGAUAAGAGAGAAUAAGCAUCAACUUCGAGUUUACUCUCUUUCUUAGGUACUCUCAAAUUAUUAAAGUGAUUUGAAACUAGAUUUGCAAGAAAAGCAUAACCAUCGUCAACUUCUUUAUCAAGAAAUACACCACCUGCCACAUUAUCAAUUGUACUCUUUAUUUCAGCAUCGAGAUCAUAAUAAAAGUGCUUAAAAAGAAACCACUUCUCAAGACUACGAUGAGGACACGAAUGUUGAAUAUCUUUGAAUCUUUCUCAUGCAUCCCUAAGAGUUUCUUCAUAUUUUUGUUUGAAAGUGGUCAACUUGUCAACUCAAUCAUUACUUUGUUGGGAAGGAAAUACUCAGUGAGAAAGGCUUGAGCAAUUGCAUACCACUCAGUCACACUGAUAUCAUUCAACCACUUCUGAGUUUUACCGUGUAGAGAAAACUCGAACAACAUAACUUUCAGUUGAUCAGUACUGACUCCACGAUUCUUGAUAGUAGAGCAGAGAUGUUCUUUGCAGAUGAAGAGUUGGGUCUUCAGUUCAAAGACCAGGAAACUGAUCCUGUUGGAUCGUAGUGAGCAACACCGGUUUGAUCUCAAAGUUCGCUGCUUGAAUUCUUGGCACAACAAGACCAGUAGGCACAUCACUCGGAGAGGGCUGCGAAAAAUUCUUCUAAGAUUUUAUAGGAAGAUCACCCAUUUUAAACUUUGACUCUUAUUUCCCUUUCUUUCGUUGAUCAAGAUAUUGCUAUAGAAUAAUUUGAAAGUCAAAACUAAGAGAAGUUAAUUCGGCGUCUCCUUUAGACCUGGACAUGAACUAAAACAAGAAAAACAAUCUCAAUUGGAACUAAAGCUCCAAUAAGAAACAAUUUAAAUAAUCAAACUAAAAUCUAUUAAAAACUAGUCGUCGUCUUCCCAACAGCAAAGUUAAGAACUUAUUAUGUAAAAUUAUGCCCGCCGCAAGUGCAUGGUGUCUGUUGUAAACAAAAACUAGCAAAUACAGGACAAACCCAGAAGAAGGGAGGUUUCAUGAUAUUUAAUCUAAUUAUUAUAAAUUGCUUCUAGAGAAAAAUGAUUGGUGAAGGAUUUUAAUUAACUAUUGAUGCAAAUUAAAUAUGUUUUAAAUCAAUUAACUAAAGUCUAUAGCAAUUCAGGUCUACCAUGCUUACACUAAAGCUAGUUAUCUGAAUAUUGCAAUUCAAUGAAUCGUAUAACUAGAGCAAUUAUUAAUCUCUCUCAACCGUUGACGCUCUCGAAAAUCCACAUAUACUCUUGUAUUCAAUUUCAAUUCCUCCAAUUGUUUGUGUCUCUAAAAAGUAUAUCUUUCGAUUAAACCCUAUUCGUAAAAGAUUAAUACAUGAAAUUGGCCAAUUACACAGACUAAAUAUUUAACAUAUCGAUUAGAAUGACUUUAUCCAUUAAACUAUUAUCACAUUAAAGCAUAAUUAUGAUGCAAAUAUGGUUUCCAUUGCACCCUAGAAUGAAACUAAUCACAUAUGAUAGAGAUAAAAACAACAAGAUCUAUAAUAAAAGUCAUAUCAAUAAUAAAAAAAUAUUGAAUAACUCAAACUUAAUAUUAAUCGAGAAAAUAAGAUAUAAACUUGACAAUUUAUCUGUUCUGAAAGAGAGGAAUUGAAAACUCAAAACCCAGUCUAAAGGGUAUGUAUCUCUCCAAAAACUAAUAGUAUUGUUUUGUCUGAUCUCCAAUAAUAAUUAUAAUAAUAUUUUUGUGAUUAAAAUAUAUAAAUAGAACUCCAAAAUCAAAUAGGAUUUCGUCUCAAUUCUUGGCUUUUUGUUCCCUUCGGUGACAUUGCAUUGUAAAUAGCUUCGUGUGACAUUGCAUUGUAAAUAGCUUCGUGUGACCGUAAAAACAUCCAAAUAUGACAUCUAGAUCCCAGAAAUGGCCCAAACAACGUAGAAAUUAUGUGUAGCCCAAUAAAUCUGAAUUUCCAUAAAAAUUAGCUCCAAAAUGGCUAUUUUUUUUCUUCAUAUCCUUCUUAGCUUGAAAUUUUUUAUUUCCUACAAUAGAACAUUAAAAUCUAUUAAAUAAAAAUCCAAAUCAGUGCAAAAUAUAAUUAUGCUUUUUGGAUUCUUUUAUUAACAGAUUUUUUAUAUGGGAGUAAAAUCAUAUAAAAAUAUAUAUAAAAAUAUAUUUUAUCAUUUUAGGCAACUUGGUAUUGACAACUUUGAUGUGGUGUGAGACGUCACAUCAACCAUAUUGGGCAUAAAAUCAGGGAGAUGCCAGAUACGAAUAUCCCCAAGGGGCUCCAUCCAUGCAACGAAUAACCCCAGACCCCAAGGGGACAAUCCAUGCAAGAAUUAUGAGUUAAACUGAAAAAUUUUGAAUGUUAUUUCGAUGGACCAACGUGGUCAUGAAAUUGGAGAUCUUGAAUGAUGAAAGAAGCUGCAAUGACAGGUAGAGAAGAGAUUUACCAGAUGUAGGUCAGUUGAAAAAUAGCAAAUUCUGGUAGUCGAUAUAUGACAUAUUAUCUACGCUGCAGCUGCCUUAGAGAGGGAAGCUUCUGAUGCUGCUGGAUAUAGAUAACCCUGGAGAAUAGGGAUUCACGGUGAAAAGCCAGUGGUAUGGAGUGAUCGCGUAGGUGUGUUAUGUCAAACUUUGUGUAACCUUCAGAAGCUCUCUCCAAAAGGUGUGCCUCUAUACCAAAACCUUUAAAAGAAUAUGUCCUGCUUCCACCUUAGCAUGGACAUUUACAAGCUGCAGUCUACACCAGUUCAUCAUGGUAUUUGUUUUACUGCACGUCUAAGACAAGGUUGCAUAAGAAAUUCAAGAACCCGUACUCAUUAUGCACCGUAAUUGAAGAAAUCCUGCAAGUAAUUUAGAAAAAAUGUCAUUCAUACUUCGACAGAAAUAUUAAAAACUUCACAGAGACAUGCAGGAGCCACUAGGUUAUUAAUAUUUACAUCUAUUGAGUUGUUCACCGAUGGUAUUCCAUUGUAUAGGAAAAUGUCCGGGAAUACACGCUAAAAUAAGAUGAAAACUUUAAAAGACUGCUAUCUAUUACAAUUGCAGGCCAAACUAUACUAGGUCAAACAGAGUAUGUUGUAAACUUGAAGAUACUGGUGAUAACAACUCACAAAAUCUGCAGUUCUUCCUUCCUAUUAGCUAACUCAUCUUAAAAUUAUAGUUUUGCACGAAAGAGAAGUUAUCUAUGCAACUGAAUUUAGAAGUUAAACAAUAAUUGCUAAAAACUGUCACGCUAUCACGAUGAUGAUGAUGAUGAUGAUGAUGAUGAUGAUGAUGAUGAUGAUGAUGAAAGGAUUAUACUGUUGUGCCCUUGGUUAUCUCUCCAGAAAUCUUAUAACAGAGAAAUAACGAUGGAUCAGGAAAAGGAAGAAAUUUAAUCAAGGGCAUUGUAAUUCUCUACUGAGUCUACACUGACAUAAGAACAGUGUUACACAUACUCUAUCAAACAAGAAGCAGACACAGUGAAUCUUACUUCUUCCCCAGAAAAUGAUCCAUCUGAGUUCCCCCGUCGACCAUUAUUAUUCUAAGUUACACCUCUGUAUUUCAAGCUACUCCGUAAAAUAAUACACUGCUCUGACCAAGAAAUAUGGGAACAAAUUUUUCUUUCGUCAAGUCCUCCACAAUUAAUUUUAGCAACAUUUUACACAUAUGAAAUGAAUGUCAAACCAAAGAUCUAAAAUUUGGGAGCAAGACCAACCUUCACCUCUUUAAGAUCAUGUUCAUAAUCACUUGCAGUAAAAUUAAUAUCAGCAUCAGGCCCCUGGAACUAAGCAGCAGCACGAUCAAAAGGCCUACAAUAAAAAAUUUACAGUACUCAAAACAAUAGCAAAACUGCAGCAAGUGAAAUAACAAACUGAUGCUACUAUUACAAUCAGGCACCUAAAGUACAGGAAGGCGAAAGGGGCACUGCUACGUUCAGAAAUUCAUAAAACCAGGUAUAAUCAAGUUUCAUCCAGAUUAAAUCAGGUAUUGGGCUGAUUACAAUAAUCAGGCUGUAGCAUGCAUCAGUAAUAACAUGAUGUAGAUAAAAUGCAGAAAGAAUAUUUAGAUUACAAUAAACUGCCCCGCCAUUACUUAAAUCAAUAUUAACUGGACAGUACUAGAUAUGCAUGCAAAGAGGGAGGAAUUUGCAAUACCUUUCGAGCUUCAUUAAUAGACCAAACUCCCGAACAGUAGAUGCUCAGUUUCAACCAGAAUGUAAGCCGCAUUUUAUCAUGUAAGGUAGUAAUUCACAUAUAGAACAAAUAUCACCAACAUGAGCAAAAGAAUGAAGUACCACUGAACAGAUCUGAUGAUCGAGCGGAACACCAGUAUAUAACAUUGCUCGAACAAAUAGUUUUGCAUCGUUAGUCAGACAAUGUUUGCACAAUCUGUUGAUGACAGCACUAUAAUCUCUAAUUGAGAUUUCAAACCCCAUAUCCAUCAUUUUACCAAAAAGUAUCGCUGCCUUCUGUACAUUACCCUUUGCAGAAUGAGCUUUGAUCAGUGUAGUGUAAGCUACUUUUGAUAGCUGAACCUUUUGGUCCUGAAGAAAGGAGAAAAGCACGUCCACGUCCCUUAGAUUUCCAUAUUUACAUAUGCCGUCUAUGAUAAUGUUAUAAGUAGCAGAACUAGGCUGAAGACUAUGCAGAAACAUCUGGUUGUGUAAUAGAAUCGCGAUUUUUAAGAGCCGCGCUUCACAGAAAGACUGAAUGACAGUGUUGUACGCAAUCUGAUCAGGCGGCAGACCCUUGCAAAACAUUUGCUUGAGUAAUCUCACACAUAGAUGCAACUUUUUCUGUUUGCAGAGUCCCUUUAGAAUUACUGUGUGUGUAACAUGAGUAGGUAAAACAUCUCUAGCCUCCAUAUCACCUAGCAAUUCAAACAUUGCCUGUGUGUUUCCCUCUUCACAGUAAGCAUUCAUUAAGGUGGUAUAGGUUAUUGCAUUAGGUACUAAUCCAUGUACUUUGAUGACACCCAACCACCUUCUAGCAUCAGCUAGAAUCUUAGCUUUGCAGAACCCAUAAAUUAGCGAAUUGAAAGUUACUAAACUUGGAGUAAUCUGUUUUUCAAUUAAUUUUAUGUACAACUCCUUAGCUUCUUGAAUAUUACCUAUUUUUGCAUACCUAUAGAUCAUCAUAUUAUAUAGAACUAUAUCUUCCACGAAGUCACAAUUAACUAGUCUAUCAAAAAAAAAUCUGGCAUCUGAUAUAGUCCCUUUCUCACACAGCGCCAAGAGAAUAGCUCUCUGUGAAAAGGCAUCCGGACAAACUCCUUUCCUGCACAUCUCCUGGUACAGUUGAAUAGCCCUUCGAACUUCACCUUGCUUGCACAGACCGUGAAUGAGAAUAGUAUAGAUCAUAGUAUCUGGUUUCAAGAAAAUAUUUUCUACCCUGUAAAAUAAUCUCAGUCCCUCCUCAACCCGGCCACUCUUACAUAGACCGCUGAGCAACAAACUGUAUGAUACAUUACUGAGCCGCAUUCCCUGAGAUAACAUCUCCUUGUGCAGCUUUAGAGCUUCAUCAACGUUGCCUACCUGGCAGUGCCCACAUACCAAAAUAUUGUAUGUUAUUAUGUCUGGAUUUAAACCUUUCUGUAGCAUUCGUUGAACAAUCUUCCCUGCCCCACUCAUCAUGCCAAGAAGACGAAACCCUUUGACAAUAAUGUUAUGAGUUACUAAAUCAGGUCUCACGCCAUGUUUCUCCAUGUCAUUUGCAAAUUCUAAAGCUUCUUCAACAGAACCAGCAACACAUAGUCCAUGAAUGAGAAUAUUGUAACUAUAAGCAUCAGGAAGUAGUCCGCACUUGAACAUUAAGCAGAAAAAACAUUUCGAAAUAUCUACAUAACCCAAUUUACUGAACCCAGACAUGAGAAUGUUAAAUGAAACAACAUUAGUACUCGUGUAUUUCCGUUCAGUCUCUCUUAGGAAUGCAACUGCUUCUUCAAAUAAAGAUUGUCUCCACAAACCAUCUGUAAGUAUUGAAUCAGUCUGUCCACUGGGAUGAACCUUACCAUCUCUGAUCUCGUUGUAUAGACCCCACAUGAUAUCAAAGUGACGCAAGUUAUACAGCAUGCUGUUGUAGGUCAAUAUUGAAGCUCGAAUGUUCAGUUUUUUCAUGUUGGAGAGCACAAACAGGGCAUCAUGAAUCAUCUCAAAUCUAGAAUAGGUAAAUGUCAGCAUAUCCCAUACCAAACCAUUAGAAUCCCAAUCCCUGAACAUCCAAAGCAGCUCACAAAGUGAAGGUGCAGAAUCAGAACCUUAAAAAUCACAAAUAUAUAUCAAAAUAGUGGAAGCUUACCUUAAUCAUAAAAAACAGUAAAUUAACAGACAAUAUUAACUACCAAAAGAAGUUAUACUUCUAAAUAAGGAUGCACUGAAAUAAGCUGGACUGCUUGUACUCCAUGCACUACAGAUUCUGCAAGAAAUGGCAAAUUUUCCGUGUGGAAGCAUCACUGUGAUAUACGUUGUUAUAGUUGUUUUACUUUAAUAAUGGUUGUAACUUGUAGGUACCAAAGCUUGAAUCUCUCUAGUCUUUUCUCAAGAUGCAAAACGAAGGUAUCUAUAUUAAACCUCGUACUCUAUUUGUAUGGUUCGAAGGACCGGCAUCAGGCAGGAAUUAAAUGAAUUUUGUACUAUUUUAUGGGUAAAUAUCCAUAAUCUUCAUUCCUACCCAUUUCAUUCAUACUGAUUCCUACUUCCUACUCACCCCAUUCACGAAUUUUAUUACUAAAGUUUCGAAUUCUUAUUUAUUCACUCUCUCUGCUUCUAAUUUUAUCUACAAUUUUCUGAGACAGGAAGCAUUUAUGCAAACCUCAAACACAAUACAUAUUUUGAACAAAAUAACCACAAAUUCACUUGGCAAGAAAAAAAAAACAAUGACCACAUUUCCGAAACACAAAUAACACAAUAUCACGAUACAAUCAUUAAAUCACACUCACCUUCCUCGUGUACCAAUUCACUCAUCAGCACCCUCAACUCUCUCAGCCUUCUCAUUCCCGCCAAAACAUGAGAAACACCAAAAACACAACUCUUCGAAACCCGAAACCCAUACUCAUUCCUCAACAAAAAAAAGAAAUCCACCGCGAAAACCGGGUUCCUAAUCCUCAAAUAAUCAAAAAUGUAAUCAACCUGACCCGAAUCAAGCCUCAAAAUCAAAUCUUUAAACUUAUUAUCACCCAAGAAUCUUCCUGGCCCAAAAAAACUCAAACUUGACAUUAGCCCAAAAACUGAAUCUUCGCUUGGGUGUGAAAAAGUUUCGAUUUUUUCGCCGUAGGCACCGUCGCCGGCCAUUUUCACCGCGGCGGCGACGGAAAAAGAAGGGUUGGUGAAGAAAAAAGUGGGGUUUUUCAAGAAAUUGAGAAAAAGGGGCUUCGAAAAGUGACGAAAUAAACGGGAUUGAUGAAUGAGAAGAAGCAUAGGUUAAUGGGUUGGCAUUGAUUGAGUGGAAAUCACUUGCUAACCCUCCAUUUUAUGUUAUCGGGGUUUAGGGUUUAUAAACAUCAUGUAGGAAGGGGAUAUUUGAUUAAUCUACCGAUGUCGUUUGAUGCAGAGGAAACUUGUGUUUUGCAAAAAUACUGUGUUUUAUUUUUUUGAAUUUUUUUUAAAAUAUGACAUGUAGCUAGGGUUCUUGUCACAGCGGCACGGGCAUGUCAGACUGGGCAUGCCCUAAGCAUGCCUUUUGUCCAUUUGGCAUGCUUUUUUACUAAUUUUUUAUAUAAAUAAUAAAUAUUAUAUAAAUAUUGAAAAUUUUAAAUAUAGUCCAACUUCAUAGUUAAAUAUUAGAUAAACUACUAAUAUAAGUUACUACUGUACUAAGUUCUGUUGUUAAUAUUACUAACUUUUGUUAUAUUUGUAAGUGCACUUUAGUAUCAAUUCUGUAAUGAUGCAACAGUUUUUGCUAUAUUUAAUGGAAAAUGGCAUGCCAUUUGAGCAUGCCUUUUCGUAAAAUAUGCUUAUAGGCAUGCCAGUGAAAACUUCCGUGACAUGUACCCUACCUGUAGCUACCUAGAAUCUUUAAUGUGUAUUAAAAAUUUAGAAAGAUAAUUAAUCUUAAAAAUUCUAGUUUUCUUUUUCUAAUGUUCUCUGGCCGCCUCCUUCUUUUCAUCCCGACGGGCUUCCAUCGGUUUUCCAGUAAAAAGCCCCAAAUCUUUCCGUUUGAUUGCUUGUUCUUUAAUUGUUCUUGCUUUUUCAUUGAUUUUCUUAAUAAAUCUCCCUCUUUGGGGAAAGUUUUCCUAAAUCUAUAUCACCGAGACUUUUGAUCUUCGUUCUUAUUCGUUUCUAGAGAGUUUUUUGGAUUUGUGAGUGAAUCGAUUAUCUCCUGCACGUCGUGGUACAGAUCUAAUUGUUUUAGUUUAUAGUUGGAUUUUCUCUAGUUUGUUUUGAUUAUUGUUUGAUUUCUCUCUCUGGUGAGAGUGUGUGAUUUUUCUCUCCUUCUUUUGUGAGAGUUUGUUUGGAUUUAUCGAUAAAAGCCUUCCGGGAAUUACAUUUGUGGUUGAUAGCUCAAACAGAGUUUUUGGAAAAGAUGGUGAUCACACAGCAAGGAUCUAUACAUGUACCAUCGUCAAUUUCAACAUCGCUUAUUUGUCUCAUCUUGGGUAUGAAGACAGGCAUGUUAAUUUAUUCUAUGUUUGUUCGACUCGAUCAUUCUUGUAGAUGCCGUAUGGCUAUUAUUUAUUGAAUUAUCUUCUUUUCUUCAAAAAAAAAUUAGAAAGAUAAUUUAUAUAUAAUAUUUAUUCAUGUAAUUUAUUUGACUUUAUAUAUAAUUUUAUUAGUAAAAUAUUUGACUUUAUAUAUAACUUUAUCCACCUCUUUAAUUUUUUAUCGACGUGUUUAAUUUUUUUUACUUUGUUCAUUCUCAUUUAAUCCAAACAACUUAAAAUUUUUAGACUAUACUGGGGCAAUAACCAUUAGGGUUGGGAUGUGCUAAAAUCCAAAUAACAUAAAAUAUUAAAAAUUUAACACUAUAUAAUAUUUUAGUCAAAAUAAAAUAUACUUGUGUUUUUUAUAAUAUAACCUUUAGAUGGCCUGGAAUCUUUAAUAUGUAUUAAGAAUCUUCACAUUUUAAAAUGUGUUUAAUAAUUACUCUUGCACACAAUUUUAUAAUGUAUUUAAUAUUUAUAAAAUUGAAUAAUUCUUUAAUAGCCAAUAGUUAUAUUAAUCCAUAAUAUUAAAUAUGCAAAACUAAUAGAUUAUUAAAAUGUGAUAAUCAUAUUUUAUAAUAUAUUUUUGAAAAGAAUAUAUGUUUUAGAAUUAAAACCUAAACAUUUUUUAUAUAAGUCUGAAAUUGACCCUAAAAAUUAUUGGGUUAUUUUGAGCUUGGGUGUGAUGAAGGCCCGGGUUCUGAGUUUAUCACCCAAAAUUCGUAGAAUUGAGGUUAUAAAAUUUCCGGGCAUCCACGUUUGGGAAACGUAUGUGGGAAGAAGACGACAACCAUGGUAUCCACCAGACUACGCUCAGAAGUUCAUGCUCCAUCAACCGAAACCGUCACGUGCUCUCCGGACUAAUUCUAGAUGUCCUCUUUCCUCCCUUGCUUUUUUACUUUAUGUGCCCUAGAAACCGGAUCCGCAAAACACUCCGAAACGGGCCAAAACGGGCUUUUUCCUCGUCAGAGUGGCAUGAGCGCGCCACAUAGUGGCGUGUGAGUUGCGUUAUGUGCCGAUAGGGUGUCAGAAAACUGUUUUGAGAAUAACUUUUGAUUCGUAAUCCAGAAUUUAGUGAAACGAAAGGAAUAUAAAAGCUUGUAAAGUCUAUUUUAAUAUGAUGUGGCAAUUGUUAAGCAUGCAAGAUGUGAUUAUGUAUGAUCUAUUUGCUAUUAAUUGAUGAUUACGUGGAAUACGUGUUCAUGCUAAUAAGUGAUUUGUAUGACAUAGUGUCGUGCCUUGAUUGAUAUUGAAUAAGAACAUAUGAAUCAUAGGAAUUGGAUUUGAUUGAUUUGUUGUUGGUCAGAAUAGGAUAACAGGUGGAUAGUCCUAUAAAUAGACGAGACGCUGUCGGAUUGUCGAUAUGAUUUAUAUGAUUAUUGAAUGGUAAUAUGCCAUAUGAAGUAUGAUUUGACUAUAUAAUAGGUAGGGAUGGCAAAAUUUUCCGAACCGACGGAUAUCCGACCGAACCGACCCGAAUGGUUUUUACCGAACCCGAUUUUUAUGGUUUGGUUUCGGGUUUGGUUUUUAUUUUUAAAAACCGAUUGAAUUUGGUACGGGUUUGGUUUAGGCCAACCGAACCGGUACCGACCCGAAUAGCCGAAACCCGAUUCGAAUCCGAACCAAACCGAAACCCGACCGAACCCGAUAUACAAUAUAUAUAUAUAUAUAUAUAGGCUCAUGAUCAAAUAGAAACCACUUUUAAAAUAAAAACUAGAAACCAAUACAAGUUAGUGAUAUUCUCAGUACAAUUUAGUGAUAUUCUCUUUAGGAUUUAGUGAUCUGUGUUGUAAGAAUUAGUGAAAACUUGCUGAAGUCGCCCAGAAUCUUAAUAUAUGUUCCAAACACUGCUCAAAAUCUCCAGAUCUGUUCAGGUUUUCGAUUCAGAUGGUGGUGACGGUGGUGGAGAUGGUGGAGGUGAAGGUGGAGAUGGAGGAAGGAUGAUUGUAACGAAGGUGUGGGCGGCUUGAAGUAGGGGGUUGGAGCGUUGCCGGAAUAGUGGCGGCUCCGCCGCGUUUUGAAGUUGAGCCGAGGUGGAGAAAGAAGUAUGGACGGGGCUGAAGGAGGUUGAAGCAUCGACCAAGAUGGUGUUGAUGAAGAUGGAGGUGGAGAUUGUGUUGUUAGAGAAAUAAUGGAGGUGGAGGUGGAGGGGGCGGGCGGCAUAAAGGUGAUGGUGGUUAUGGAGGAGGUGACGACGGAGGUGGUGGCAGUGGCGGAUGUGGGGGUGGGGUUGGUGAAGAUGGNNNNNNNNNNNNNNNNNNNNNNNNNNNNNNNNNNNNNNNNNNNNNNNNNNNNNNNNNNNNNNNNNNNNNNNNNNNNNNNNNNNNNNNNNNNNNNNNNNNNNNNNNNNNNNNNNNNNNNNNNNNNNNNNNNNNNNNNNNNNNNNNNNNNNNNNNNNNNNNNNNNNNNNNNNNNNNNNNNNNNNNNNNNNNNNNNNNNNNNNNNNNNNNNNNNNNNNNNNNNNNNNNNNNNNNNNNNNNNNNNNNNNNNNNNNNNNNNNNNNNNNNNNNNNNNNNNNNNNNNNNNNNNNNNNNNNNNNNNNNNNNNNNGUAUGUAUGUNAAAAUAGUGAUAAAAAACUGUCCAAAAACUGGUUUUUAGUUUUUAGGCUAAUUUGGUUUCUAUUGGAGUAGGACUCUAUAUAUAUAUAUAUAUGUAUGUAUGUAUGUAUGUAUGUAUGUAUGUAUGUAUGUAUGUAUGUAUGUAUGUAUGUAUGUAUGUAUGUAUGUAUGUAUGUAUGUAUGUAUGUAUGUAUGUAUGUAUGUAUGUAUGUAUGUAUGUAUGUAUGUAUGUAUGUAUGUAUGUAUGUAUGUAUGUAUGUAUGUAUGUAUGUAUGUAUGUAUGUAUGUAUGUAUGUUUGUAUGUAUGUAUGUAUGUAUGUAUGUAUGUAUGUAUGUUUGUAUGUAUGUAUGUGUAUAUAUAUUUCAUAUUUAUAUAAAAAUAGUCAUUAUCAAAAGAUGAAAAGAUAUGUGUAAAAAAGAAUAAUUAUAUUGUUAUCUUUUUUUUUAAUAAUAUUUCAUCACUUAUUCAAAUAUUGAAUAUGAUACAAAGUUAUUUAUAAAUACUAAAUACAUAUUCUUAUAAUAAAAUAAACAUAAUCUAGUAUUGAAUAAUAUUUGAACAAAAGAAAAGUAUCAUCAAAAAUUUUGUUCAACUAAAUAAAUAAAAUAAAAUCCAUACAAUCUUAUAUUAGAAUAUAAUGUUUUAUUUUCUUGUGUAUAGCAAUUAACUUACAUUUAUUUUUAAUAAGCUGAAUUAAUAAAAAGAUUUUAAAAAGCUGAAUUAAUAAUACUUUACUAAUACUUAAUAAAAUGAAGCUUCUCUUUAAUUAUGAAUUAUUGUAAUUGCUAAUUUAAUCAUGAAUGUUUUGUAACAAAUUGAGGACAUGUUAAUUUUUGAAUAAAAGACUUGUUUAUGAACCUAUAUUUUAAAUAUAUUUUUUUUAGAAUUUUUUUAUAUAAUUUUCGGUUUUGGUUAAAACCGAACCGAAACCGAAAACCGGUGGUUCGGGUUUGGUUUUUGAACUUCGGGUUUCGAUUCGGUUCGGGUUCGGUUUUGAAAAACAGUAUUCGGUUCGGUUUCGAUUUUCUCUAAAACCGAACCAUACCGACCGAUUGCCAUCCCUAAUAAUAGGGUCAAGGGAUGAUCGUGUGUUAAGUGAUAUCUGAUAAGUGCAUAGAGUUUAAUAGGUUGGUUUCUCAUUAUAUGUUGAGUGUUUAUCGAUAUACGUGAUAUGUAUAUGCGAUUGGUAAGAUACAAAGUUCAAUUGAUAUAGACUAGAAUCAUUAGAUGGUCUAGUGAUUAUGGUAUUAUCUUAUUCUCGCUAGGGUUUGGACGAGACGUGUACGAUCGAAGACAUUCAAUAAGUCAAAGGGUAUUGCAAACCGAAUAAGGAAUGUACUAAGGAAGCAUAGCUUACUAAAUUUGGGAAGGAAAUUGUUGGGCUUGAGAUUUAAGUUAGAACGUUGUGCACGGUAAGUAUAUACUGUACCCUUCACUGUUGAUGUUUUACGAUGUUUUGGUGAAUAUUUUAUUGAUGAUUUUCUGAUAAGAAAUGAGUAUUCUUACAUCGCUUCUAUGUGAUGCUUCCUUUGGGAAGUAAAGCUAAACCAAUUGUUUAGCUGGCCGGGAGCCCAACAGUAGAACUUGUGAAAGUGUGAACUUGUGUACGUGUUUGAAUACUCAUACUCAUCUUGAUGUGUGAAAUAUAUUGAUGAUUCUGAUGAAAUAUUAUUUUCGUUCGGUAAGUUUGUGAAUAAAACUUAGUUGAACUGUACGGUAUAUAUUUACUAAGCUUUAUGAGCUCAUCCCUUUUUGUGUUACAAACUCUACAAAAAGGCUUAAAGAUGAUUCGCUUGAUUUGUGAUUGUGAGUAAGGCUGAUGCUAGACAAGGAGUCAGAGUUGAGGGUCCAACGGUCGAGGAGUAGCCAGGGAGGUUAAUAAGGUUGGUCUUAGAUAGAAUUGUGUAAUUGAGAUUCAGUUAUAAGCUAUAGUUGUAGUAGAUUAAUAGUGAUUCUUCUCAUCGAAGUUGAUCUGAUUUUGUAAGAGAUAUUGAUUGAUAAUGGUAGUAGUUGAUUCUAAUUUCAAUACUGCAACCUGGAUGCGAUCCUGUUAUUUUAGGGGGGUUAAAAUGUUCUCUUUUAAAUCUUUUAUUAAAGCUUUCGAGUUUUCAAUUCUUUGGUUUUCAGAAAUGCAGUUUUUUAAAAGUGUUUUAAAAAGUUUUGUUAGGAAUCAAUGAUUUUGAUGAUAACACAAACACUCUGUAGCAUGUUCUAGUUAGAAUCUUUAUCAAAAAUUCAGUUGUAAUUGUUAUAUUUCUUGUUCUUGAGAAUUAUCAACGGAUGGAUAGAAUAUGAUGGCUAAUUGUAAAUAUCCAAUGCCAUGUAAUUUUAUCUAAGUGAAGGAUAUUCAACUGAUCAGUUGUAACUAUUCAACUGAUGAAGACUGGAUCAUGUUUCAACUGAUGAAAACCAAGCAUUCAAAUGAUGAAGACAAAAUGUUCAACUGAUGAAGCUAAAAGUAUUCAACUGAUGAGACAGGAACAAGACUCAACUGAUGAAGUCUGUAAUUCGUUCAACUGAUGAAGCCACUUUCAACUGAUGAAGCAAAUAGCAGUUGAAAGUGACUAGAGCUUAAUUCUGACAAGUCACAUGGAUCGAAUGUCAUACAUACCAGAGGGCGCGCCCUGUCAGAAGGAGGCGUGCAAUUCGUUCUUUGAUAGAAUACUGGUUGGAUAUGGCGUACCCCUAAGAUGUGCAUCAUGGUUUAGAUUAGAGUGCAUAAUUUGUAUUCUAGUUAAAAAGCCUUGUAAAACUUGGAGUAUAUAACCAAGUUAGGAGCAUCAGUUGAAUUUGUUCGAAUACUUGAGAGAAAAUCUGAGAGUUAGAAACUGUUCAAGUGAUGUGCAUCAUGGUUUAGAUUAGAGUGCAUAAUUUGUAUUCUAGUUAAAAAGCCUUGUAAAACUUGGAGUAUAUAACCAAGUUAGGAGCAUCAGUUGAAUUUGUUCGAAUACUUGAGAGAAAAUCUGAGAGUUAGAAACUGUUCAAGUGAUGAACCUGCAGCUGUGCGAAUUGUAAUCAAUCCACAGAUUCUUCAAUAUGAAAUCUCACGGGUGGAUCAAUCAAUCCACCCGUAUUUUUAAUACCUAGUGUUAUUCUGAUUUAUUGUUUUAAGUGUUCUUGUUCUUGAAUCUUUUAAUUUGUAAAAGAUUGUAUGCAACCCCCUUCUACAAUCUUUCUUAUAGUUAGUGUAAAAUAACAGGUUUUGUAUGGUGACGUCAGAAUUCAGACCCCAGAUUUGCGGGAUGUCACAAUAUAUAUAUAUAUUAAAUUUUCAUACAAUAAUAUAUAAAUAAUAUAAUCUCCAUGAAAUCUCAUUAAUCGAACUAUUUCGAAAUCUAACUCAACUCGAUAAAUUAUUUGAAAAGCUCAUAUUCGAAUUUCAACAUAUCAUUUCUAAACUAAAAUUUGAAUAUCUUACUAGUCAAACUUCGUUAACUCAUCAAGUGUACUCGUUUAUGGUUUACGCCGUUGCCUGGAGAUACAUUAAUGCUAUAGAAAAUGGACGACAAUUCAAAUGUUAAUUUCUUCCAAUUUGCACCUGCCAAUACUUGUUUCAUGUGUCAUUGAUGUAUUGUCUCACUUAUUUUUCCAAAAAGUGUUACAAAUCAAAUAUAUUGCGUACUGGUGUUUCUUGAGGCCAACUUAGCACCUUAGAGGAAGUCCAACACUAUGCUAAGAGGUUCCCUAAAAAUAUUAUAAAAUAAUAUGUCUUAGUGAUUUAGCACAAGAUUUAGCACAUGAGCUCCAAUAGUACUCCCUAUAUCCAUUCCCUAUUAUUAUAAUAAUAUUAAAUAGUGGAGGAGAGAGGGAAAAAAAGAGAGGAAAAUGAUGUGGAGGAGAGAGGGAAAUGAAUAUUUUAAUGAUAAAAAUAGUUUAGAAGUGGCUAGCAUAUUCUAAAAAUAGGGAAGGGGAGGCUUGUGCUAGUGAUUUAGCACAUCACUAGCAUAGUGUUGGAGUGCAAUUUUAUCCCAUAUUCCCUAUUUUUAGAUUUAAGACUUGAUUUAGCACACCUAUUGGACUUGCUCUAAAAGACAUAAGUUGAUAUCUAAGGUAGCAAAGGCACAUCCAUCAUCAAUGUACCUUUUGCAGUAGAAAAUUCCAUGACUGUAAAUAGUGGAGAAAGCAAAGAUGUGAUAUCUUAAUCUCUCUAGGCAAAGGGUUUGCCUCAAGCCCUGUAAAACACCAUUUCCAAGAGUGGGAGUUAAGUUUUGACAAUGGUCCCAUACUGAAACAAACACUGCAACUACAUCUUUGAAAAUCAUUCUCCAGAAUACACAACCAUUUCGAGUUUUUAGGAUUAAAAGGAUCGUAUUCGUUGCACAAAACCGAGAAUCCGAGAAUAUUUUGCUGCAUAUGAGUAAAACAAAAUUAAAGCUAAAACAAAAAUAAGGAGAGGAAGAAAGAGAAGUGCAACCUAAAAGAGUGACUCUGAUGACUUUAAAAAGUGAUUCUAAAAUCUUAAGUCUUUUUAUUUUUUAUGAUUCAAAUAAGCAAGUGUUGGUGUAAAGUUCUGGUGUUCUUCUGACCUGAUCAAUAUGCAUUACAGAAAUGGCAGACCAGACCUUAUAAUUUAUUUUCAUGAUAAUUAAAGUUUAAACUAAUCUUGCUGAGGACCCCUAAUCUAAUUUAUUUAAGCUUCUAACUAAUCUUGCCGAGGACCACUAGUCUAAUUUAUUCCGAAACAAGGUUUCUUAACAGCAUUUACAUGACCAAGAUUCCACCGGAAUUUAAAGCAAUAACUAUCAAGACAAUAAUAUACAGAAAAAAGAAAAACUCAAUGAUUGUUCUUUCCAUAGAUUACUGUCAUAUAGUAGUAUGCACUGUUGGAGGAGUGUUAGUUAAUACAUGCCAUCUUAAUUAAUUAACUCUUGACUCUCAAGCAAUAAUAAUCCAAAACCAAACAUUUAUCCUACUUAAACUUUAAAUACUCUUUAAUAUGAACUGUCACUUUCUUUGUAACAUUUCAUAUUCAAUUUGCUAAUCAGUUUAGCUUUAAACCUAAGGCCUGCAUGAGACUUGCAUUUCACCAACCAGCCUCAGCCUUUUUAUAUCCAAACCCUGACAUUUACAAAUUUCAUAUAAUCCUACUGUUAACACAGAGUUUAAGGCUUGGGGUUUCUUCAUAUUCUCUUUUCAAUUUAGCUAGCAAUGUCUAAAGAAAAUCCGAGAAGGCCUGUUAAGGAGAACAGAAGUCCCUCCAAAGAAAAAGAUGGUCAGAAGCCGAAUUAUAACUUAUUAUCCAAACACCUGAAAAAAGUGUAUCCAGUUGGGGUUUAUAAAGCCAGUACCUCUCCUCUGUCUUUGUCAUCGUUAUCAUUGUCUUUGUCACAAAACUCAAGCGACUCAUUAACAGAUUCUUCUUCUACCUUGGAUCAGAAGAUUGCUGCAGCGAUCCGCCUGAUAAUUCCACGUGAAAAAAGAGACGUUUCAACUGUGGCUAGAUACAUGCAGAAACUAAGUCCCAGCCACAAUGGUGAAGGCUUGAAUAGGUGUAACUGGAUUACAGCAAAUAGCGGUGAGAUUCAGUUCAAUUUUAGUCUUUCAGAUGUUAAUCCAAAUAUUAGCACACACAAUAAUAUAUGUAAAUGGUAUAAAUCAUUGUUCGGUUAUGUCAUCUUCGCGUCUCAUACAUGAUCAGCACGCUGCUAUGCAAAGAUUUCUCUAAGGCAGUACAUCAGAUUUCCAGGACAUAAUAGCAUAAACCUUCUCUGUUAAACACAACCACCACAACUAUAACACUUUGUUCUUCCAUAAGAAAUUAUUGAUUUUCCAACUGCCUCAGCUACCUACUAAGAAUAGUAAUGCAGAUUACAAACCAUUUUAUCAGAAGUAGAGUAUUAUAAUUGCUAACUAGAAAGUUGGUAGUUAAUUUCUUUGUUCUUUGUCUGGAUUUAGUAACACAAAGCUUAGUGAACCAAUCAUUGGACUCGAGGUUUCAAUUAUGUAACCACAGCUUAAAAUCAAUGAUAAUAAUGGCACAAUCGCAUACUUUAAUUCAACAAUCCGAAAUAUCAAAUUAAGCAAUUUACAUUAAGACAAAAUUUAAUUCUACCUGCAUUUGACAGUAAUUAAUUUUCAUCUAGUAUGCAUACAUGUAGAUAUAUGUGUGCGUGUGUGUUAGUUUGCGUGUGAAUAUUAACAUCUAGUGACUACAUUUCAACAGAUAAAGUCUAUGUGCAAUUUCACGACGAGUGCUGGGGAAUUCCAGUAUACGACGACAAGUAAGUUACUAUAUGCCUAGUGCUAGUACCAUAUAUUCUGAAUUUCUCAGCCAACUAGUAAGUAAUGGUUAGUUGGUCACAAAACUUGUAAAUUAUGUGACAGUCAGCUGUUUGAACUUCUUGCAAUGUCUGGCAUGCUGAUGGAUUUUAACUGGACUGAGAUUCUGAAGAGGAAAGAUCUAUUCAGGUCAAAUCUCGUGUUUCUUGAUAUAGGUACAUUUUUAUACAGACUCUAUUUCAUAUAUAAAUGUUUAUCGAGGAAAACCUGAAUUAUGCAGAGAAGCAUUCGUGGGAUUUGAUCCAUCAACUGUUGCCAAAAUGGGAGAAAAAGAGAUCAUGGAAAUAUCCUCCAACAAAGCCAUUAUGUUAGCAGAAAGCAGAGUCAGAUGCAUUGUAGACAAUGCAAAAUGCAUCGAAAGGGCAAGUCUCAUUAUAAAUUAGAUAAUGAAUUAUAAAAUAAAGGAUGAAUAUGAGUAAAAUUAAUAUGUUAUCUAUAUUCUUUAUGUAGAUUGUGAAGGAGUAUGGAUCUUUCAGUGGCUAUAUAUGGGGAUAUGUGGAUUACAAACCAGUGAUUAACAGAUUCAGAUAUCCGAGAAACGUACCUCUGAGAUCACCAAAAGCAGAAGCCAUCAGCAAGGACUUGUUGAAGAGAGGGUUUCGAUUUGUUGGACCUGUGAUCGUGUACUCAUUCAUGCAAGCUGCAGGGAUGACCAUUGAUCAUCUUGUUGAUUGCUUUAGGUUUAUUGAUUGUGUAAGUCAUGCAGAGAGACCAUGGAGACAUGUCUAACGAUAAUAAGUUAAUAACUACCAAGGAGUAUUUAUUACUAACUUUAUCAGUGAAGUUGGUAAUAAUUUAUGUUCAAGCAAAUCCAAUUUUUUCGUUUGCACCAGCUGCUGCUACAAGGACUACGAAGCUUGGAUUGUGCAGCAGCAAGAUCACCAAUCGUUUACACUUAGUAAUCAGACGGAUGCUUUAGAGAGUAAGAAGCUUUGGAGUGUGCAGAGUUCAUUUAUUGUAAUUAUGUAUAUAAUAUUUAAUAAUUAAUAACAUCAAAUUGAUAUUUGAUUUCCCAAUUAAUCUUGCAUCAAUGUCUAAGCAUUCAGAAUUCCAGAUGAGAUGCUGAUAUUCGUUAGUGCUAGUACUCUUAAGCAUAGCCACAUCCCGUUCAAGGGUGGUCGUACCUACUUUAUGACCAGAAAGAGGCAACCCCCCCCCCACACACACCACCACCACCAAAAAAGGUCCCAAAACUGAAGCAUCUUACUUAAUAUACUAGACCAUGAACUUAUAUUAUGUUCGGUUGGGUAGAAAGGAAUGAAACAAGUGAAAAUAAAGGAAAACACCAGAGGUGAGAAGGAAUUUUGGAAAAAUUAUGAGUGAGUGCAAAAUUUUAUGAUAAGAUUUGAAAGUGGGGUAUGGGGGGGGAGUGGAGUAUCCCUUCUCAACACAGAGGGUUGUGUUUUACUUUAGUUUGUUAGGGAAUGUUAUGGAGGAAGGGAAAAAAGUUCUGAACAUGUACUCAUGAGAUAGUUCCAAUCUCGAUGCAAAUCCAUUCAUACCAACCGAACACAAAACAGAAUGUUAACUAAGAAGACCUCAGCUGGCCCCAACAUUAGGCCAUUAACCUCUUCAGGAUGAUCAUUAAGCCUCUGCCCCUGACCGAUACGCCUGAUUCUAUCACAUAGGGGCAUUCAUAGUGACUGAGUGGUGGAAACUAACAUGUGAGUUUAAUAUUUACUACUAAUAAGUAAUGACUAGCUUGAACUGGUCAGAAUAGAUUUUGUAUAGCUUAAUCACUGCAGAAUAGACCAUUUAUAAAAUUAAAUAACAGGCGCCACAAGGGAUGAAUGGUUUCUCGAGAGAUGAGAAGCCAUGUUGAUCCCCCUGACCCUCUGGAGAGUGACUAAUGCCCAAAUCACUAAAAGCUGGUUCUACUGUACGUGUUUGAGGAGCCUAAAUCUCCACCAAGGUUUGCCUGAUCCCAUUCUCAGAACUCUGACAUACAGUGUUCUGAGACAAGAAGGCUAAAGUACUCUUCAGUUUCCAAAUUUACCUAGUUUGCCUGGUUGUAGUGUAGUAUUUGUUGAUCAACUUUUACCUUGCUAGAAAAAUUUACUCUUAAGGUGCAAUAUAACAUGUAAGGUCUGAGCCGGACUUGCAACGCCACUUGUUCGCCUCGUGUACUUGACUACUUGUGACUUAUUAACUGUUUUGGAAUUAGGAAACACAAGGAUCGAUCAGGUGACCGAAAAUAAUAAUCACUUGAAAAUUAACUAGGGUGCAGUGUGCUGUCUACUCUUAACUUUUAAGUGCAUGUCAAAUCCUCUUUAAAUGUUCAUUUUAUAUAAAAAUUGAUUAAAUUUAUCAAAUAUAAAGAACGAUCGAAACAACUCGGGUAAGAUUCCAAAAAUUACUCAACCCGUUGAAGAAACAUUCUGAGAGCAAUACAGGGCCCAGGAAAGCGAAAUUUCAUUCGAUUAUUGAGGUUUUGAUUAAUCAUUCAAGUAAAGUUGGUAGGCAGAAACAAAGCCUGCAACUUUAGAUAAGAAAAUUAAAGGUGCAAACCAAAGGAUCAAGUGGGUUUUUGUUGGACUGCUUUUGGGAGAGAUGUGAAAGGAUGAACAUCAAUCAAACUCAGAGUUACCAAAACCCCAAUGCUCUGUUUCAAUUAGUGCUGCCUACACCAAUUUCACCAGAUUCCAGAAUGUUAAAAUCCGAUAGAAAGUUCAUAACUAAUCUACUACUAACCUGAUUUGGUCCAGAGAGAUCAAUUUAUCAUCACUAUCUCGACCAGUUUGCCAGUCUACAGCUCGAUGCUGCUUCAUUGUCCUCGACAAAUCACAAAUCACCUGAAACUACCACACAAGUACACAACUAACCACACGUCCACACCCUCGGAUAUGUAUACAUUUUUAUUCAAGGCAGUCAAUUAAAUAAAAAUCUUUAACUUGAAAAAUGAAAUUACAUUGCUGAAUCUAAGAAGCAUCACAUUCCAUAUGUACAUAAAAUGAUUUUUCUUUUUCUAUUUCUGAGUGCAUUCUACAAAUCAUUAAUUAAACAAGUCCAAGGUAAAAGUAAAAUUUGAAAGUAAAAUUGAAAAAAUAACUACAUCUAGUGCAGUCUUGCACUCGGCUGCCUUCAGAAAGAAUAUUUACAAGAAUUUUUCCUGAUGCUCGUUGGAUAAAAAAGCAGAAGCAAGCAAACCUAACCUAAGAAUACUUCACUUCUCAAACGUCAGCAGUUUUAUUCUAGUCUUCUCUAGUAGAACAUAAAGUUCCUCAAUCUCAGAACUGGCAUGAAGUACCAAGCCUCUGUCUCUGCCCAAGGGUCACAGACUUCCGCUGAGCAAAUGCCGCAUAUAGCAACUCCUGGAACUUCUCUAGAAACAGCGCCCACUCUUCCUCACACAUGUCCGAAAAAUUCACGAAGCUAACACUAGCAGGGAGCUGUUCAUCAGCGCUCCUAUGUCCAGAUGAUGAAUUUAGGGGAUAGCCAUAUUCUGGCCUACCUGCUGGGAACUUCUGAAACUUCAUGUUCUCGUCUAAACUGGUUUUCUUAAGUGACAUGGAUAAUUUCGAGAUGUUAGGUUUCUUUGCAGCACUUGGAAGUCCUAUGGAAUUAUUGUCAGCGACCAUGCCUUCACCUUCUUCCUCCUCUUCCUCCUCCUCCUCCUCCUCCUCCUCCUCCUCAAUGCUUUCCUUUAGCUUGGACAGUGGAUUCCGCCCAUAAGAACCACCUCCCCCCAAAACGUAUGGAGAUUUAGACUUUGCUUCCCCAGAGCAGUCAAAUCCCACAUCUUCGCAAUCAAUGUUGAACUGAAACCCGUCAUCUUCUACAAGAAUUCUGGGUGACAAGACCUCCCUCUCGGCCAUUAGUCUUCUUGCCUCCAUGCACACAAUCUCGAGCUCACUGGGCUCCUCUUCGCCACUACGGAACUCUCUACUCAUCAUCUCCCCUAUCUCAGCCAGGCAAAGACCAAAACUUGCAGCUUCCUUGAGAAAAAUUGUGCAGAGAACCAAGACCCUGAGACAAGCAUCAUGAAUCAUUGGGAGUUCCUUUCGUAGCAUUUCAGAUUCCUGCAAAGGGUCUAGUUUUCUAAUAUACUCCAAUUCAUCAUCUGAAAAUGGAAUUGAAGCCUGAGGCCAAUGAACCCACUCAAAAUAUGGAUCCUCCAAACUUUCUGGCAAGCAAAGGCCAUGAUCAAUUGGAAUAAGUUCCACCUGACCAAACCUCCCGACACCAUCAAGCUUCCUCACCAGUAGGUUUCCACCAUGUCUGUCAGUGUUCAAAAUCCUAAUAUCUAAUAUCCCAAUACGAUGGACAGCAGCAACUGGAAAACUUGAAGUCCCGUAAUCACUGGCAUCAAAAUCAUGGGGGAUAAACUGUUGAAAGGAAGCAAUCUUGCUCACGGGCUGCUGCUUACUUUGAGGUUUUUUGGCAUUAACACCAUCAUUCACAUUAAAGAUAGAGUGAGUAAUCUUCACCAGUGCAGUGGCAGGAACAUUAGCAAAAUGGUCAUGAUCCAGCAGAUAAGCCGCUACUUCCCUGAAACCUGUUUCACCAACACGUACCGAACGUUUUAGACCUGGUUGCCCUAAAGCUUUUCCAACAAAACCUUUGGGGUUAUUUGGAGCAAACGGCUCUUCAUCCGUCGGCUUCACAAUAGCCACACUCUCACCCCUACUGUUUCUAAAGAAGUAUGCACCUCCAAGCCCGCCAUAAACAGGAAGUGGAUCAACCCCAAUCUUCAUUCCCUUAACAAUAUCUUUGACAAGUUUUUUUACCUUUACAAAGAUUUCAGAAUGGCCCAAUAUCUCAACUGGACCACUUUGAUCUCUUUGUUGGAGAUCCUUCACAAAAGGAGAGAGACAAGGAGUUGAUGAACUUCUAUGCAGCAAGUUUCUUGUAAGAAGAAUAGGGGAAUCAUUUCGAAUAGCACUCAAGUCAUUCUCAAGAACCAUAUCACCAUAUGACAGCAAGCUCUCAUCAAUGGGAACGUUGAGUGCGAUCUGCAAUCUCCUCUUCACAGUAUGAGCAUUAUCACUUCGAUUCAAGUCCAUCCCUAGGACACAUCCAGUUUCCGUCUGCACAAAAACCCGUCUGGUCCCAGCAGGCUUCCCUUCUGUCCUGGUUUUCUGGUACUCUCUUCCAAUUGGACUACUCAAAAUUGCCACCGCCAUCUGUGUCUGAACAGGACUGUCCAAGUUCCGCGACAUGAAAUGAGGAAAGAAGCUGGUUGUUUUUACCGUCAGCAAACCAGAUGGCGGCGGAAACAACCUUCCCUAGUCCCAAUAGAGCGCCAAACUCACAAUCCACUCCCACUUCCACAACAAAGUACAGGCAAAUCAAUCAUAAACCAAACAAGCCCCGUGAAAUUCCAACGCAGUAGUCGAGUGAGCAAAACAAAAAUUACACCUAGAAAGCCAUCUGAUAGGAUAAUUAAUACGGCAGUACACCACAAUCUGUGGAAAAACAACAAAACCCAAUCACAAACACGUCUCGUCUAGCAAGAAAACUAGAAACAAAAUCUCAAUUUGUUCUAUAAACUAAUCUCCACCUAUCUAAGACCUAGCCUAGGUACAGUCUCAAUCAACUUGAUCAAUUUUUCGAAAAAUAUUAGUAACAAUCUAUUAUAUCAAAAUCAGUUUUAAGAUAAUAGAAAUAACAGUGUAGCCUAAUAAAGAAAUAAAUCUGAGACAAAACAUGUAAUUAAUUAAUUAAGUUAUAUUCACAAUUAUCAUAAAUUAAGUAUAUCAUUACUUAAUUCACACUCAAUAUAUACAUCCUUAUAUAUUCAUUUAACAGUACAAGCUGCUUUGAGAGAGAGGGAGAGAGAGAGAGAGAGAGAGAGAGAGAGAGAGAGAGAGUCAAUUAAGCAGCAAACAAACUGCAAAUAAGCUGCAAAGCUAGCAUGAAAUGACUAACAAUUAACAAAGUUGAAGCUAGAUGCAGAGAGAUUAGAAAGAAAAACAGAGAUAAAAUUGAAAUUAGAUAACUCACCAGACGGCCGGAUCUGAAGAGAUGAACACCGCCGCGUCUCCUAGUAACAAAAUCAACGAAUCACCUUCCAGUUACAAAUAAAUGGCUCUCCAGAUAAUCUUCUUCUUCCUUGCUUCCUCUGUUGAUAUAUAGUAGUAGGAGAUAAUAAUUACUACGUAUAUAAUACGAGUGUUUGUGUUUUAAAGGCGGUCCAGUCUGUUAAGGUGCAGCGUAAAUAUUGUAACGCGCUCAAGACUUGCUAGUUACCUGAGUAAUUAGGAGAAAAGGAUGAGAAAUUAUUAUUUUAAGAUCGGUUUUUUUUAGUGUGUGUAUGUGGACACAUGAUAAAUGUUAAAUUUUUAUAAGUUUAAUUUAUUUCUAUUAGCUCUCAUAUCUUAAUAGGGUUUGUUGUGUAUGAGCACAUGCUAAGCAUUAACAUUUAUAAAAUUAGAGGGUUUUGAUUGGUGUGGUUGUUGUAACUUGUAAGUUGUAACUGCAUAGGGUCCAUUAUUAUUAAAAAAUGGUAAGCUAAUAGAAACAAUCCAAAUUCAUAAAUUUUGAUGUUUAAUGUUUGCUCACAGACACAUCAUGGAAAAACCGAUCUUAAUAAUAAAUCCCUGCAUAUAUGGAUCCCUGCAUAUAUAACCAACAUACCAAUCAAAUCUCUCAGAUAUAUAAUUCUGCGCUUAUAGGCACAGACUAGAUUAAUCUUUUUAAGAUAAACAGGCAGACUUACUUAUUCUUGAAAAAUUUUGGUUCGAAUUUAAUCCAACUCAAUUCUUUUUACCAUCUCACUUUAAUUUCAUUUCCAAAAUCUUAUCUAAAAAAUAUAUAUAGUUUACAAAAAAGUAAGAUUAUGUUGGUAUUGGAAACUUUUUAGAUUAUUUAUAUAUGUUAAUUUGUGGGAGUUGUGUUUUAAAUUAGGAAGAAUCUAGAAUGGUUAAAAUUUAGGUGAUAAAGAUGGAUUGAAAUUUUAUCGAUGAUAAGAUGACGUGGGAAUAAAGUGAUAGGGGAUAUUGACGUGGUGGGGUCGGACAUGAAGCAAAUGGGCCUGCCUGCAGGGCUGUCUACAGUUUUUGUGCCUAAUCUGUGGGUUGUUUGUUUUCUUCGCUCAGUAAUCGCCCCCGGGUUCAGUAACCCGAUAAAGAUUUCGUUCCUAUUUCGGGAAUAAUAAUUGACACGAUGAUUUAAAUUUUUUUUUAAAAAGGAAAUUAAUUUAAUUAUAAAAACUCAUAUGGCAAAUAUAAUCGAAAUUGAACAAACACAUACUAAUAUCGUUGUUGAAUCUUUCUUUCUUCGGUAGGUAACCAAGCGAAUUUUUGAAGUGAUAUGUACUUGACGUAAUACUCUCACACGCUGUUGUUUUGAAUAAUCGACCACAAAUGCAUGAUCAUACAAACUUUCAUCAUUGAAUCAACACAAUGAAAAUCUCGUAGAUCCAAAAUCCUGAACAUGAUAACAAAAAUUAAACUCUCACAAGGAGAGACCAAACAAAACCUAAAUAAAUUGUAAACCUACUUAAAAAAAACAAUAGAUUAUUUAAGAAUAUUAAAAAGAAGAAAAGAUUAGGGCUUUUUGUAACAACCAUGAAAUUCAUAAAGUACGUAAAAAUAUAGUUACUUAAAUUAGUUAUUUAUUGUGCAACAAUACUAUUUUAUUAGUCUCGGAUUUAGAUUUAUAAUACGAGAAGAAUUAGCUAAAAAUGUUUUAGCUACAAGAAUUCUAGAAAACACGUAGUGUGAUACUGUGUGAGGCAGUCGUUUAAUUUAAAUAUGUAAUAUUAACACGAGAGCUUCGUUUAUACGAAAAUAUAAUAGCCCCGAAUAUUUAUUUAUUUAACGAGUCGUGAAUAAAUAUUACGUUUUACCCGAGACGAUUAUUUUAUUUCUAUCAUCCUAUAAAAUCAGGGCAGUGGCAUGAAAAUAUUAAAAUAUCUGAUAAUAUAUUAUUUACGAUAUUUAAUAUUCGUGUUUGGUAAAACCGAUACGAGAAUAAUAGGAAUAAGUGUAUGAAUUUAAAUACUGGCGAGACGUUGCUAAUUCGGGUGCAAGAAUUAUUACUUGGCGCUCAAGUAAGAUUACUUGAGGCCCAAGUAAUGCUUUAAUUAGUAGUAGAUUAUUGGGUCACUAAGAAAAUAUCGUGAUUAGUGGUGAUGUAUAAAAACCCAAAAAUUGGGCAAUUCAACUACCAAACAAGACAUUUGUGAGGUAGUAAAAGGGAACUCAGAGUUAACAAAGGGAUUGGCGAUUUACCAAAGGAAAGAAGACAAAUAUUUGGUGAGACUUAAAAGGAGUUACUGUGGGUUCUUUGAUAUUGCCAUCCUUAUUUGCUGCAUCUAGUGUAGUUUCCCCCUCUACACUCCCCACUUUCCACUUCAUCGGCUUCUAUGGUUCUUUUCUGUGGAACUGUUUGGGCCUUUUGAAGGGAUUUAGGUAGUCUUGAAGUUCUGGAUAGAGUGUAUGGGGUAUAAUGCGGGUUAGCUUGAGCUGGGUCUACUCUAGCUUCAUCCUCGAUAGAAAAGAUAAAUGGGUUAUCUUUGAAUGAGGAACCAAGGUUGGUCACUUGGUCACUCAUGUGCUUCGUAUAGUGCAGUGUAAUGUCACUGUGUGGAUUUGAAUUAAUGAGUGUAGUGUGUGUAUUCUUUUUCAAAACCAAACACUCCCUUGUAUUGGAAGCAUUUGCAGCAAUACCGCAAACAUUAUUCAAAAACAUAGUGAUAAAGCGAGGGUAGACUGAUACCUUUCUGAUUAUGGCAGAACGAAGUUGAGCCAUGAUCAUCUUACCCAAGUUCACCUUGUACCCGUGAACCAUUGAGUGAGUAAACUUCCAGAUGUCUUGGUAGAGAAAAUCUUCACUGUUUUUUUUGUCUCGUGCUUCGUUUUGUUUUAACCUUAUCUUUUGUUUCUGUCAUUUGAUUCUGUUCUUGUUUGCAUGUAUUGGUCGCGACCAAAUCUGUUGCAACCAUGGAUAUUACUCCUAAAUUCGUCAAAUUCAUUGGUGAAUCGGAUUCGGAAGACAAUGAAUUGGUAAGUAGGUCUGUAUUCUUGGCUGCAUGUCAUUAUUCCAUUUGAUUUGACCUUAUUUUUUGCGAUUUUUUCUUAUGUGCAGCGUAUUCCAUCGUUGUUUUGGUCGAAAGUAUCGAAUCUCUUCCCUACGGUUGUACAAUUGUUCUUCCCUAAUGGUUUCAGCGUUUGGGUGGGAUAUGACAAUAAUGAUGAUGUGUUCAAAGGCGUGGGCAAGUUUUACCGUGAGUUUGAUUUGAAAAAAGGUCAAAUUAAUUGAACUGCUUGAUAUUGAUUCAGUGGUUAGGCAUGAUGGGGUACUGAAGUUUCUAUAUUUUCUUAGCUGUGGGCAGGAAAUUGUGGAUGAAGUGGUUAGUAUAGUUUUAAUCGAACUGUAGUGUAACUAAUUUUUGAAUAAUGGUAGUGAGAUGUCCUGGUUCUUAUAGUAAUUACUUUUAUAGGACAUGCUUAUCUCUGGUAGGACUGCAGGGUGUAUGUGGACUGAAUUCAUUGUUAACAUGACAUCCUGCUGAUUGCCUUAAUUUCUUCUUAAGAGCUAAACCCUGGUGGAAUGGGUUUAACCCUGGUGAUAUGUUGGAUCUCAACUGGGGAUGGUCAGCUGGGGGGUUUGAAGAGUUCCACAUGUCCUUACUCUUCUGAUUUCCAUCAUAUUUAUGUGGUGAAAAAUCUCUAAUGUCCGGGGUAUUGGUACAUAAAGAACCAAAAACAGUUGUUUUGUUUGUCAUUGGCCUUUUUCCCUUUCUGCGGUUGGAAAGUGAGGUUGAAAAACCAUCUCCAAUUUGUCCAAUGUUUUCCAUCGUAUGUAAAUCUAGAUUCACUGUGGGAAAAUACAUUAAGAAUGGAAAACAUGAAAAGGGGUCUUGUGCAUUUUUGGUCCUUUAACAAAAACAACAAAUUAACAGAUGUUUGGUAUAUAAUAUUGGACAUCUAUGUGUGAAAACUAAAUGGGAAAAAUGCAAGAACAUAUUUGUAUUUAAGAAUAAUCAAUGUACUGGAAACAUUUAUUUCAACAUAGGCAAGAACAUAUCUCAGAAAAUUUAUUACUCAAUCAUAACAAAUUAAAUAUAAGAGAUUCCGAUAUUUAUUGCUAUGGAAUAAAAAGGUAUGAGAGUGAUGAGUUACUAACAGGCGUCAGACACACUGUCCUUGAGACCUCCAUGUUGCAUUCGGCAGUCAUCCUCCGUAUUAGGUUAAGUUAAUGAAGCUGAAACCCUAUAAAAAUGUCAAAAUAAACAGAGUAUGUUAGGCAAUAGAUUAACAUGAACAAAGAUACUGGGUUUGAAGCAAAAAAACAUGAUUACAGCGGUGAAAUAAAGAAGAAACGAAUUAAAAAAUUACGAUGGAAAGAAGGAGAUCAGAAGAUGAAAACCAUUGACAAAUCCUUCUUUAGUGUUUACAGUGGAGUCUUGAACAAGAGAUAAAGAAAGAGGAGUAUAUCUCACCAUUAACCUACAAAUUGAAGUACAGAUUUUCAAAAUUAAGGGUUUGAUUUGAUGACACGUUUCUUUAAUUCAUACAAUUAAAAUUGGUCACCUAAUGAGACGAUCUAAAGCCACAGUUGGAGCUGAAACCUCUGCAGAAAAGUUAUAAAGAGUUUGCUUUUAAAAGUGCUUUUUCUGAUUUUAUGAUGUUAACGUGGCAAUGUUUGGAGCUCAAUGGCAACAUGUUGUAAAUUUUGUUAAAUUUAGGAGGACAUAAUGGUAAAAAGCUAAUGAAAUAGCCUUCAGGCAAUAUCAUUUAAAGGGAUGAGGUUAAUUAACUGUCGGGUCGGAUUAGAAAAAGAUCCAUAUGAUGAAUGGGUAUUAGCAGGAAUUUAGAAUAUAUUGAAGAAUACUAGCAAUCUUGCCCGUGCUUCGCACACGGGUAAUGAUUAUUUUUUUAAUUUUUAAUCAAUUAUUUGUAAUCUUUGUUAAAUUGUAACACGUGGACAACAAUUAUUAUUCUUUGAACCAUAUUUUAUUAUUCAGCUUAGAUGUUUGACACUAGUUCUGAGCAUCAGUCUUCUAAUUUGAUUCCAAGAAAAAAACAAAUUUCAUGCACAUACGGGAUAUCACACAGAGGACAACUGGUUUUAUGCUUGAGCAAAAUACGGAAACCUGAACAAAACAUAAGUCUAUUCAACUGCCUACACAUUUCAAGAUAAGAACCCAGACUAAUAUACGUACAGUUCCUCGGAUAAUCUUCAAUCACGCAAAUCAAAUAAUCCACACUGGUUACAUUGCUUCCCACAGAACCUGCAGACUUAAUCACUCUAUGAACCAAUGCAUUGAAGUCUCUUUAAUUUAUUAACAGCAACACAGAGGAUCAUCUUAUUUUCAAGCAUGUGCAACACUGUUGUUUAAACUGAUAAGUAGCCAAAAACAAAAUACUUCAUCCAAACACAAAGGCAUGAAUCAAGAUUAGGGAUGCAAACAAAAUACUUCAUCCUGCGUGGGUAAUGUUAGAAUCAAGAUCCACUGGUUCUACAGUCUCCUUAACUUGCACUUUCUUUUCAUUAUCAGUCACCACCGUAUUACUUUCUUCAUCCAUAUUAGCACAUACAUGCAAUAUACAUUAUCAGUCUCCUUAAAGUUAUAAUCGAUGCACAUACAUGCAAUAUACACAGAGAUCAAUUCAUCAGAAUGAGAAAGUUGAAUGCUUCUAUCCAAGAUUUCUGAUGUUGUUUCUGAAUGAUAAAAUGAAUGAUGCUGAUAGGAACAUGUACGUCGAUUCUCCUGUUGUUCCUAUUCAGAGAACUUGUGCUAAGAUCCAGACCAGGCUGGUAAACAAGAAAAAGCAUGACAAUGUGCCACUGGUGGUGACUCCUUUCAUGCUAGAGCAAUUCAGUGUUCCAUUCCAACCUAUUCAAGUUCCUGAACCUCUACAACAGCAACAAUAUCAAGCUCAACAACAGGCUCAUCCAGACAUUCAACCAGAACAACCGCAACAACAAUCACCUCCACAAAACCCUCAACCACUACAACUUCUGCAAGACUAUCAAUCAUCCAGCCAAUCCUCACAUUACUCUCCCUACAACCCUCCUUACAAUUCACCACAUCAAUCACCUCACCAAUCAUAACACCAAUCCCCUCCACAUUACAACUUCUUCCCAGACCAACAAGCCUCCAUUCUUCCCUCUCAAUCUGAACCAACACCUUCACCUACACAUACACAUACCAUUCCUCAACCACAAUCUACCUCUCAGCCACUGCCUGCUGAUUCUGCUAUCAAUCCAGGCCUACAGGACUUCAGGGCUGAUUUACAGGUAGCUCAGGUACUUUCUAAUCUCACUGAUACCUUUAAUAUUGAUAUUGCAGAUUUUGAUUGUGAUAUUGGAUUUGAUUUCCAGACUCCCAGCAUUGAACCUGAAAACACCCAGGUUCAUAUCCAAGCUGACGUUUCCAUUUCAACAACUGAUUCUUCAUCAAACACUUCAAACAACACUACUUCAACCCCUGUUGUUAGAAAGGUAGCCCGGAAACGGAGUGGGAGUGCAAUUUUGAGAGAUCCCGCAGCUCUGUCUCAUAAGAAGCAAAGGGUGGCAGAACCAGAGACAACUGCAGCUGCAUCCAUUUCCACCCAAAAAGAUUUGGACACUGAAAUGGUAAAUAUACAGUCUCUAGAUUCAUUCUCUCCACAGAAUGCAUUUAUUGAAAUUGGCCAUCCGACCGCGGUAUCCUGUAAAGAGUCAAGCACACAACUAGCACUCACGCUAGUAAACACUGAACCUUUGUCUUCUGAUUCUUCACUUAGAGAGAGCACAGAAUUUCAAAACAUGUCAUAUGAAAAAUUUUCUGAUCACUCUUUCUUUUUGGAUCAGGAUCUACUUGGCAACCUGCAAGUACAUCAGCCUUCACAGGCAUCUGAAGGACAGUNNNNNNNNNNNNNNNNNNNNNNNNNNNNNNNNNNNNNNNNNNNNNNNNNNNNNNNNNNNNNNNNNNNNNNNNNNNNNNNNNNNNNNNNNNNNNNNNNNNNNNNNNNNNNNNNNNNNNNNNNNNNNNNNNNNNNNNNNNNNNNNNNNNNNNNNNNNNNNNNNNNNNNNNNNNNNNNNNNNNNNNNNNNNNNNNNNNNNNNNNNNNNNNNNNNNNNNNNNNNNNNNNNNNNNNNNNNNNNNNNNNNNNNNNNNNNNNNNNNNNNNNNNNUAUUUCUGAAUGAUAAGAUGAAUGAAGCUGAUAGGAACAUGUACGUCGAUUCUCCUGUUGUUCCUAUUCAGAGAACUUGUGCUAAGAUCCAGACCAGGCUGGUAAACAAGAAAAAGCAUGACAAUGUGCCACUGGUGGUGACUCCUUUCAUGCUAGAGCAAUUCAGUGUUCCAUUCCAACCUAUUCAAGUUCCUGAACCUCUACAACAGCAACAAUAUCAAGCUCAACAACAGGCUCAUCCAGACAUUCAACCAGAACAACCGCAACAACAAUCACCUCCACAAAACCCUCAACCACUACAACUUCUGCAAGACUAUCAAUCAUCCAGCCAAUCCUCACAUUACUCUCCCUACAACCCUCCUUACAAUUCACCACAUCAAUCACCUCACCAAUCUCAACACCAAUCCCCUCCACAUUACAACUUCUUCCCAGACCAACAAGCCUCCAUCCUUCCCUCUCAAUCUGAACCAACACCUUCACCUACACAUACACAUACCAUUCCUCAACCACAAUCAACCUCUCAGCCACUGCCUGCUGAUUCUGCUAUCAAUCCAGGCCUACAGGACUUCAGGGCUGAUUUACAGGUAGCUCAGGUACUUUCUAAUCUCACUGAUACCUUUAAUAUUGAUAUUGCAGAUUUUGAUUGUGAUAUUGGAUUUGAUUUCCAGACUCCCAGCAUUGAACCUGUAAACACCCAGGUUCAUAUCCAAGCUGACGUUUCCAUUUCAACAACUGAUUCUUCAUCAAACACUUCAAACAACACUACUUCAACCCCUGUUGUUAGAAAGGUAGCCCGGAAACGGAGUGGGAGUGCAAUUUUGAGAGAUCCCGCAGCUCUGUCUCAUAAGAAGCAAAGGGUGGCAGAACCAGAGACAACUGCAGCUGCAUCCAUUUCCUCCCAAAAGGAUUUGGACACUGAAACGGUAAAUAUACAGUCUCUAGAUUCAUUCUCUCCACAGAAUGCAUUUAUUGAAAUUGGCCGUCCGACCGCGGUAUCCUGUAAAGAGUCAAGCACACAACUAGCACUCACGCUAGUAAACACUGAACCUGUGUCUUUUGAUUCUUCACUUAGAGAGAGCACAGAAUUUCAAAACAUGUUAUAUGAAAAUCUUUCUGAUCACUCUUUCUUUUUGGAUCAGGAUCUACUUGGCAACCUGCAAGUACAUCCGCCUUCACAGGCAUUCGGAGGACAAUUUGUUUCUUCACCUCCUACAGUUCCAUCUCAGGGAACUAUGGUUGUAUAUACAGGUACUGGUGACGGUGUGACAAACACGAGUGAAAUCAGGCAAACACCGAGCGAAACACAUGCACGAGAGGAUAGUGAAAAAUCUUUGAGUGUUCGUGAGGUGAGUGCACACACCAACACAGAUCUGUUACAGGAACAAAUGGCUGCUCUGAAAGCUGAGAUAGAAAGGUUGAAUGCUGAGAAUGCCAGAUUCAGAAGUGGAGAGCUGGUGACUCUGCAAGAGAAAGUUGUUGAUCCCUCCUUUACUUCUCUGAAAAAGGAAUUGGAUGAUCAUGUAAAGCGCAUUCAUUCUAGGAUGGACAAAUUUGAUAAGACUCAGGAGCUCUGUCUGACAAAGCUUGACAACUUGGAGCAAACUCUGGCUCAAGUUGUUCAACACUUAAAGAUUAAUCCGUCGACAUCUCAGUCUACUCCAGAGGAUCCCUCAACUAAGGGGGAGAAGGAUAAGGAUGAUAAGGAUGACAAAGAUGAUCACAGCAAUGCUGAUGCUGCUGAUAGGAGUAAUAAGGAUGGAGAUACUGAUAGGAGUGAUAAGGCUGAUAGGAGUGAUAAGGGUGGAGAUGGAGCAAGUGAAAAGGAUUCUUCUGCAGCUGACAAGUCUAAAGGCAAAAUGCCUGAAUCUGAGAACAUCUUCACUAAUCAGGAUUAUGACAACAUUCCUGAAGAUGUUGAUGAUGAUGAUGCAUUUGAUUCUGCUAAUCUAUAUCACAUUCUAAUUGUAAAUACAAAGCAUAUUCCAAUAAAAACCUAAAUUAAUAUCAAUUAAGAUAAGCUAUAUCAUGUUUUAAUUGAAAGACUGUUAUAUAGUUUUUCAUGCCCUGUCUGAAAGGCAUAUGUUCAGCCUAUUUGUAUUUAAAGAGGUACAACUCAACUCAGAUAAGAAAGCUCAGUAAAUAGCAAGUCAUCGGAAUCCGUACGAAGAACGUCAAAUGAUUUAUGGGAAUUAUAUGUCAGAUAAAUUCCAGGAUGCUGCUGCACACCACUGAAAGAAGUUCAUUAAUAUGUUCAAGCCUCAGUGCACAAAUAAUCUUUUGUGGCACGUCCAGUGUGACAGCCCUCAAAUCCGGGGGUCUGGAUUUGUUGCCACUAAAACAAAAAUCAUUUAAAAACCUGUAUUUGUGGAAAAAAGUAAAAUAGAUAUUUGAAAAUCUGAACACUUUAAGAGAUUUUUAAAUCAAAAUCACUUUGACCCCCUAAAAACAGGAUCGCUAAUAGGUUAGAGCAUUGAAAUCAGAACCAAAACUUACAAUCUUAUUACAACUUAAACUACAUUAUCAGUUAAACUCGAUAAGAAGAGUAACUGAUAACCAAAUAAAUAAAUAUAUUUACAACUAAACUGAAAUGAAACAAUUCUAACCAGAACUACUCUUGUAAACAUCUCCCUGGCAAUCUCGCCUAGCAUCAAUCUUACGCGCAGCUUACACAAGUGAUCAUCUUAAUCCCUAGCUGAAAGGGUUAGAAAAAAAUAGCAAGGGUGAGCGAAAAUGCUCAGCAAAGUAAUAUGAAAGGCAAGAGCCACAAGAUAUGAUUUCUUUUUAAUUAAAUUAGAGUAUUUGAAAUAAAGCAAACUUUUGAAGUAAAUCAUAACAGUUGUGUAACUCAAAAUUUUAUCAAACAUAUAAAUCCAUAUGCUUGUAAAUUCACAGAAUAUAUUUGACAGUAAACAAAAGCUAUCACAAGCUUAAACAAUAAUGACCAGGUUUUAAACAACGGCGUACUAUCACAGCUGAUCAGACCAUGUGAUAAUACCGGGCAUGUUUCGUGGAAACAUGCCUCAAAAUAGGUACCAAUACAAGGCAACACAUUUGCCUUUGUCAGAAAAGUAUUAUAAACUUUCAAUAAUACCCAAAUAGCCCUCCGCUGGACCGCCGUCUCGGUCUCUUACGCAAAAACAAAGAAAUCUUCCGAUUUCUUCCAGAAGAAGAUGACUAAUCAUCUAUUUUGAAAACAAUAUUUUGCUGGUCUAUCUGGCUGGAGUAUUAAAUAGCCCCUUAUGCCAUAAAAUCAUCUUUCAAAACCUUUCUGAAAACUCUUUGUUUUCAAAUUCAAAAUACUGUCAAAAAUCAAAUUUUAUCAAAGUCUGAGUACAAUUUAAAAAUCCACCGUAAUACGGCUCAAAGGAAAAACAAAGCUAUUUAGUUAUUUAAAAUCCAGGGUUUAUGUCUGGGACAGAAGACCAGGCAUAUAUUGUAAUGUCGAAAUAUGACUGCUAUAGAGUCAUCAAUAGUUUUCAAACUGUAAAAGAACUCAGACAAUAAUUUCCAGAAAACUGAUUAAAAUAAUCUGAAAACUUUUCAAAUAAAGUUGUCACUAUUCAUAUACUAAAGACAUUCGAUAUUUUCAAUCACAGGAUAACACAUGAAAGCAUUUGCACUUUUAAAUAUCAGAAAUCGAUAAUCAUGCUUGCAGGAAGUACAAGUCAUAAAUAUAAAACUUGUAUUAUCAAAAGAGAAUUGAAAUAAUCGCUCUUUAAAUAAAAGAGAAGAAUAGGAAUACUUGCCUUUGACACAAAACAGGUGACACACAGUCACACUACUCAAAUCCUAGGAUGGCCUCAAUUGCUAACUUUGCAAUCACUACACUCUAUUGGCCUAUCUCACGGCACAAUAUCGCCUUAUCAAACUAUUUCCGACUUGGCUUGCAACAAUUCGCUUGCUUCUGAAAGUCGUUGAAUGCACGCGUCUCGAUAGACUAUAUAUAAAACAAUAUAAUAUUCAGUCGAAGAACAAUCCCGAGUGUCGGCUAAUUCGCAGAAUCGAAAUUAUAUUAAUACCCUUCGCAAUAUAAACAUAUACAAAUAAUAUAAACACAUAAUAGCGGAAAGUUAAAUAAGUAAUCACAUAACACGUAAUUUACAUGCUUUAAUAUUCAUAAAAAUAUAAUCUAAUAACUCCUGUAUAUAAUCUCAUACUUGAUUAUAUACAAACGCUAAUAGCCUCAAUAAUACAUCCCUGGAUAAAAUCAAAAUCCGAAUUACAAGCCCAACUGUAAUUCAGUCACAUCUCAAAUAAUCUUAGAAUCUCAUCAAACUAAAUUAAUAAAAUUAUAUAAUUUUGGACAUCAUGUACCUUAAAAUUGAGCAAAUCCCAAAUCAAUAACACAACAUUCUAUGUCCAAAUAAUAUAAUUUAUUCCGCUAUUUCAAUUAAAUAUACAAUUAAUCCUCAUAGCAGAAAAAAAAAAUUCUUGAAAUAAAAAUAAUUCCUCAAACCAAAGAAUCAAUCCUCAACAUAUCAAUUUAAUCCUCAGAAUAACCAAUCAUUCUUCUUUAUAAAGUGGACUAUCCCGGGGUCGCAGCUCUUCAAAAAUCAACAAUAAAAUCUCAAUUCAACUCUCUAUUUUCUGGUAGUCUUCAAAAUUCCAUAACUUAACAUCUUCACAUAAAACCUUUUUCCAUUUUAACCUCUGACAUAGUGUCUUGCUAUCCUUAAAAUUUCAGCUUAAACCGGUUAGAAUAGCUAGGUCAAAUACUCGCUCAAAGAUGGUACUCAAAAUUAUCUCAACAAGGCAAAACAGGAUUUUUAUCAUUGUCACAGCCACACUCCAAAAUUCACUAUAAAUCGUAGGUUAACUAUUUUGACAUGAAACCACCUCUGGGAUCUUCUAUACUCAGUACACUAUCAUCCCUCAAAAUUUCAAUUUGAAUUAAAGUGUUUAGCUAGGUGAAACAUUGCUCCAAAGUUCAGUGUUCAGUAAAUUCGUAGGUUAUUAACAACCCAUACUAAAACUGCCAUAACUCAUAGCUCGUUACUCCGAUUCACUCAAAAUCAGCGCCCAAGUAAACUAGAAAUCAUACACUACAACUUUCAGUAAGUAGUCGAUCAUCCAAUCACAAUAAAACUGCUCCGAAACACUGCUCCAAAAACAGGACAGCGACUGAAUUUAAAAGUUUAUACCUUUGAUUGUUAAUGUUGCAACCUCUGUUUACAAACCAACUCUCGCCAUACUCCUCUGUACCAUUUGUAAUCUUCAUCAGCCUAUAACCUCCUGCAACACUCCAUCUUCCAAGUCUGUCUCCAAUUAAAACCUCGUCACCCCGGCACCUCCAUGGGCCACCCUCCUUCAGCACUGCCAUAGCUGUGAUCAUCUCCCUAAUGUCGCCCCAAUUAUACACAGUCACACAAGAUGAACACACACACAACUGAAACCUCUCCCUCUCCUCAUCUGAACAGACCCAUAUGCACAAAUAUCCGCGACAACAGCCACCGUCUGAAAACAACCUCGCCGCCUCCGACUACACCUUCCAACCAUCAUCUUAUCUACUGGCGGCAUCCCGCCGCCUCUCCAACCACCAGUAGCCAAACUCCACCUCCCCUGUAUUGGAAUUAUCACAGCCACCCAAAACCAAUCGCCUCCAUCUCCACUGUCUAAUCAACACCAUCAACGGCCCCUUUAUCCUUGUUUUCAAACCCCCAAUCAACCACUACACCUCCACAUACAAGCAACCCCACAUACUCUGUUUAUCUCACAGGCAUAGCUGCCACUUUGAUUCAACAGACUCACCACAAAACUCUCAACCACCGCCAAACUUCCACCUUUUACGCGACGCCACCGCGUCCUACCCUCUCUGUGCUGACGACGCAGCCUCGGUGAACGCCCAACCAUCAUUCACAACCCCGCUCCACCAUUGAUUCAAGACAAAAUCUCCCAACCCCGGCAAAUACACAAAAAUUAUACACAGAGAUAUACAUAUAUAUACACAACACCCUCACCCGAUUGAAGCUUGAAAUCAGAUGGAAAGGAGAUAACAAAUCAAAACCCUAAUUUUGCUAUGCUUUUGCUCGCACAAAACCACCGCCUUUUGUUUCUGAGUACAAGUCUCUGUAUGUUUUUCUGUUUUUAGUCCUUAUCCGGUUAUAUCGUGAAUCACAGCUACGUUUCAGCCACGUCCCAGCUACGUCUCGGUUCUACUAAAAUCUAUUUAAACAUAUCAGAAAUUGCUCCUAAUUAAAAUAGAAACUAAUUUUGAUGAUAGUCAAAUUUGGGGUUCAAAAAUAUUUUCCAAAUUUAAUAAUAAAAGUUUUCAAAAAUUUUAAACAUCCCGUAUUCGAAAUAUUUCGGAAAAUAAUAUUUUAAAAGCUUUUCUCUACUUUCACAAAUAAUGCUCAAAAUCAUUUUAAAUUGCAAACAAUUAAAAUAAUCAUUUGAAGACUUUCAAAUAUUUUUAAAUCCGGCAGAUAUAUAUAAAAAUACCAAAAUUUGAAUAUCUUGGUAAUUUAAAUCCGAUAAAAUAUUUGGACUCAUAUAAAACAAUAUCAAUUUUGAAAUCAUAAGAAAAUUUUGAUUUGUCAAAAUAAUAAAAUAAAUCAAACUGUAACCCACAGCUCAGACAUGAAAUAAAUAAUUAAAAUUGCACAUCUAACAUAUAAUACAAUUAAACCAUAUAAUCACAUAAUUGCAACAACUCACAAAAAUAGUUUUUGAAAAUCCAACAAAUUGGAAUAAAAUAUAAAAUUUUAUUCCUGCUCUUUUAAAAAUUAAUAAAAAUUUAAUAAAUAAUUGCAGAAAAUUCUGAGUCGUCACAUCCAGGAGUUCAGAAGAUAUAAAGUUUCUAUACUUUAUUUUAUCAGAAGAUUCCAUUUAAUGAAGAUGUACUUACAAGACGAAGACUCGACGAACAAAUCAAAUUCUUAUUGUUUAUUUGACAGAGAAUAUUUGAUUUAACUAGAUACAGAUGAACCAGACAGUACAUCUGUGUAUCAGUUAUUCAAAUUAAAUAUUUGAAGUCAAGCAGAAGUGGUAGUUCGUUCGUUCGACAAUUCAAGAAGAAGUUAUUAAAGUUUAAUGAAGACCGGAAGCUGUUCUACUAAAGAAUUGAUGAGUAAAUAUUUAAUAGAUUAUUAUUUCACUUCACAAAUAAUUAUAUUAAUUAUGUAAUUUAUUUGUUAAGUUAAUUCACUCUCGAAUUAACUUAAUUUAUGAAUUUAUAUGAUUAACUUAAUUAAGUGAAUAAUUUUCUAUUUAAUAUAUUAUUUAAAAUACAUUCUUAAUCAUCAAAACAGACUCAGUAAGACAAUCCUAGAUUGUCUUACCGAAUCUGUUUCAAGGGUGUUUGAAGACAGCCCAGACAAUUACAAUUAUCUGACCAAAGAGAAAUUGAUGCUUUGCAAGACAAUCAGACUUUGUCUUACCGAAUGCUUUGUGCCAAGACAAAACAGAUUGUCCUACCGAAGAUUGGUGAUUGCCUGCAAGACAAUUGAUUGUCUGGCCGAUUGAAGGCUUGCAAGACAAUCCUUGAUUGUCUGGCCGAAUGACUCCUGCAAGACAAUUCUAAUUGUCCUACCGAAGGUUAAUUGUCUUGCCCUUCUUGUGGAUUGUCUUUCUGCUAUGUAAAUGGCUUUGUAAGACAUUUAAAUUGUCUUUCCUUUCUAGAUUGUCUUGUCUUUGCAUUGUCUUACAAGUACAAAGCUUUGCCUAUAUAUAUGGCAUUGCAUCCUUCAUUUCAAGUGUUCAAUCACUUUGUAUUCAAAGCAUUUGUAAAGCUUUCAAGUUGUUUGUAACUUGCUUGAUCGUUAUAUCCACAGUUUUCUGUGCUUUGAUAACCCGGUUGUUUUAAUCACUAAAUCUAGAAUAUACCCUGUCGAAUUUAUUCUACGAACUUUAGUGGACAUUAAAACUGAACCAUAUUAAUUAUAUAACGACUUCAACCAUUGUUAUAUUAAUUAAUUAUAAUCUGUUUAACAAGUUAUAUUCAAUCAGAUUCACUUCCGCGAUUAUUUUGUAUCGAUUGUAUUCAGCCCCCCCCCCCCUUCUACAAUCGUAUCUGGACCUAACACUGUCCUCAGAGUAUACAUUGCACAUUAUUAGUUACACUCCAAAACAAUUAUUUACCGUACUCUUUAUCCAUAUCUUCCAUGUUAUAUCAUGCUUAUUAAAUCAAUAUACACAACAAUCUAAAAGAUACAACAUUAUCCAUGAGCACAUUCUUUAAAGUUCUGGGAAUAAAAGGUUCAAAAGGAUAACAUACCUAUGUGACGGUAGAAAUACAGUCGGAUAUAUGAAGAUCCUUGUAACCGCGUAAUUUCUUUAUGCUUGAUUGUCUGAUCUCUGUAAAGUCCAAUUCCAUUUCUCUCAAAGGCAAAAAAAGUAUGUAGCACAAAUCACGAGAACUGUUAACAGGAUGUAUAUAGGCAACAGAAGAACAUCAGAAAAAUGUAAAAUUAAGAGCAGAUAUAACUGAAUGGACCAAAUUAAUAUUAUUGAUAAUUUGUAUAAAACUUCCAUACACAAUAAAUCAAAUUUUCAAUAUUAAAUUCAUCUUAACUAACUAAGAUUGCUUGUAAAUUAAAUAUGUAUGAGUUGGAUUUUAAUAUGUCUCUGUCUUUGCGAAAACACAAACCCAAUAGCAGCUGGAGUAAUAAAAACUUGGCUAGGAAGCCCUGCCUCACUAAUACAUUGGCAUACCCGCAUCAAUUUAAAAUUAAUAUCUCAAUCGUAGCAAAAAUAUUGGUAUUAAACACAUGUGCUUGAAAUAAGUAAUUUAGAGAAUUUUUAUUUAUACAUACCGGGCUUGAUAACAUCUCCUGGAUUAGGCUUAAUUAUCUAGUGCCUACCAUCGAACGGAAUUAAGACGAAUCGGAAGACACAAAAGGACCUAGUCAGUGAAUGUCAUCAUCCAUUCUCUUGAACUUGGGUUAUUAUUUCUGUUGCAAGAAAAAGACUAUACACCUUGUUACAGUAUGAAACUGCAUAACAAUACAAAAGAAAUUCAUGUUGGUCAGUAAUAUCAAUAUGCUAUAUAAGUAUGUGCAAAAUUCAGAUUCAGUCAGUAAUCUAGCAAAGCACCGUACUGCUUUUUAGAAAAAUAUGCUAUAUAAGUAUUCUGCACACUCUUGUCCACCACAACAUCCAAAAACUUCUUUUAUUAAGCAGACUUCUCACCCUUAAAUUAAGUACAACGAUCAAUGUCACUAAUUCUAUCCCAUGUUCCUUUGCACUCAAUUCAAGGAUGUAGCAACUGCUAAAUGAUAGAGGGUCCUAGACACAUGAUUAACAUAUAAUUUAUUAUAGAGACAUCCUGACUGGUAAGAGGUUAGGCACUUUGAGAGGUGAAAAACUUUCAGGUGAAUCUCAACUAUUUUCAUCCACUUAGAACUUCAACAUAUAAAUAAUAGUAGUCAAAUGACAUAUUAAUAUAGAAUUCAACAAAUAACAAUAUAUUAAGUGUAUAUACUUCACGUCGAGAUUAAACAUACCACAUGACCAAACUCAUGCAAAAGACUAACUACCUGUGAGAAUCGCAAUAAACCUAAACAACUGCGGCCAGCAUCCUUUUGGAACACAGAGAUAAGAAAGGGAUAUUGGAUUCUGAAAAUUCUGUUUUCGACCAGGGCAACUUUAUGUUAGUGACGUGAAAUCAAAAUACAGAGUAGAUAGAAAUAACUUACAUCGUCAUUUAGAGCAGGAUUCUCCUAUUAUCUUUGUGAUACGUGUCCCCAAGUCCUUCACUGAAAAGCUCGAUACUUGGUGCCAAAUCAGGAAUAUCUGGCUUUAAUAUUUUUCAAAAACAAAGCCUACAAAUCAACCUACAAAAUCAACCUGAGCAGAUACAACAAAGCAUACACUCAAUUAAUAAUACCUGCAUCGUUCGUACAACAAAUUCGUGAAUUGAUGCUUAUACGUGCGGUUCAGAUUCAAUAACUCAGGAGCCAAAUGGAUGUAAACCUGGUUCAAAAUCCGUCUGGCAAAAGAACUGCGUUUGAAAACCUAUGUUUCAGGGGUGAACGCCGCGGUUAAAGGCAUAAUAAAUGGAGCAGUUUUAGAAUUGAAUUUGAAAGAGAGGAGCGAGUAAACUACGAUAAACUGGAGCGCCUGUUUUUUUUUUCCGGAUCCCACGGGAAGUUAAGUGUCUUAUAGAUGUUUUCUGAAAGGGGCAGUACCCGUUUUGUCGUGGAUGAUCCAAGAUGCUUAGUAAAUUACUUGUAAACCCCUGGGCGGUAUUGCUAAAAAUUGGAAGGAAGGGCAGAUGGUGUAAUAUGAGAGAUACUUUGUAUUCACAGUUAGAAUUAUACAAAUAUAGAUAUAGGGGUGUUGUUCCCUGACAACUGUGUGUCAGGGAACAGAUAUCCAACACAUGGCUCCCCAGCCGUUGGAUAACGAUCCAACGGUUGGGGUAAAAGAAAAAAAAUUUAAGUGUUCCGCGGUUUUUUUCCGCGGAUUGUCUGUUUCCUGAAGACGUUCCGCGUAUAUUUUCCGCGGAUCCGCGGGACUUUUUCAAGCGGUCCGCGGUAAAUAUCCGCGGAACUAUCAGACGAGUUUUAAACAAAAGAAACCGCUGAAACACACGCAUAUCAGUUGUAUGAGCCAUAUCAGUUACAUUCAAACACAAAAACCACAGCCACCAAAACCCUCCUGCGAUCUUGCCUGCGAUCACAUCUUGCCUGCGAUCACAAGGUGCCUGCGAUCAUCCCCAUUUUCUGCUUAAUUUUUAUCCCUGCAUAUCAGUUGUUGUUUUGAGCUUAUUUUUGUUUGGUGCUUGAAUCUUUAGUUUUAACCAUACAUUAUUUAGGAUUGGAUGUGUAAUGGAUUGUUGGAUUGUUACUUGAUUUAGGCUUGAUACAUGUUGUGUAAUUCAUGUAUUCUAGUUCGUAUAUAUUUUUGAGUGCGAAGUGUUUGGUAAAAUGCCUCAAAGAAAAUAUUGGUUUUUUUUGUUAGUUUUUUGUUAGUUUAGGUAUAUAAUUUUUAACUUUGUUGAGGUGAGACUUGUAUCCUCCUAAGACUGACAUGUUAAUACCUAACAGAAACGUGUUAUCUAGUAAACGUGUUAUCUUUUUCUUAGCACGUCAGUCCAAAAAGAACCGAUAGAGGUAUGGGGAUGAGAAUACACAAGGUAGUUGAAUAUGAUGGACAAUACUUGGAAACACAAGGCCCAACCAUCAACUAUUGAUCAAACUUAAAGAGUUGGUCUAGCAAACAUUUUUUUAAAAAAAUAAAUUUCUCUAUGAAUGAAUUAACAUAUAUAACCAGCAUAUAGUGAAACACAGUGCUCGUAUCUGGUUACUCGAUAGGAAAUAAACAAUUUAAGGGAACAUAAACACAUUGACUGAUCAUUGAUUUUGAUUGAAGUUCUGUAUCCUAGGGUUUAUAGAAACAAUUGAGAUUCAAGUAUGUAAGGUCAUUUAUGAUAUAAUGACAUGGUUUUAAUUUGAUAUUAAAGAUAUAAUUGCUGAAAUAGAAUCCAAAAUGUUCGAGAGGAACUGAAUGAUUUAUGAACUGUAGUUUUUCUUGACCAGUUACAUGUGUUUAUCGGUCAUAUCACGUCGAACAUAAUAUUUUAGAAGUAUUUCCUGUUUCCUCGAUGUUAUCUUUGUUGGGAAAAAAUAAUCAAAUUUUUUUCUUUAUAUUUAAACUGCCUCUUAUAAAGUAAAAUUGGAAAAACCAACCAAACUUAUAAGUUAGAACUAUCUGCAUAUUUGUAUUCUGUGGCAGUAAGCUAAGGUAAACCAAUUUACACCUAUUAUAAUUGCACUUGAUUGUUACUAAAAAAGUCUUGUCAAGCGGUGUGAUUUGCUGAUUUAACUUGCUAUCCUUUUUUGAAUGUAGCAUUGUCAGUAUAAUUUAAUGAAUUAUUUUAAUGAAUUUUGGUAUAUAUAUAUAUGUAGCAUUGUCAGUAUAAUUUAAUGAAUUAUUUUAAUUUCCCAGCGAUAUUUUAAUAAAUUUUGGUAUAUAUAUAUAUGUGUGCUUGAAUUGUGGUAUAUGUAGGUAGUAUAUGUAGGUAGUAUAUGUAGGUAGAUUGUGAUUGUGAUUAUGGGAUUAGUGCUUUUCCUACAGAUAUUUUAAUGAAUAUGAUCAUAUAAAUGGUUGUGUGGAUAUAGUAUAUGUAGGUAGUUUGAAUAUAGUAUAGGUUUUUCUGCGCUUCUUAUGAACUUCUUAUGCUUUACUUGAAUCUUUUAAUUUUAUGUUGUCUGAUGUUGAUUUCAUGUUGAAUUUUCAGGAUGGAAGAUAUUCUACCAGGGCCAGUUAGUCAGGAAGUUAUCGUAGAUAACUCGUAUCAUGUGAGUGCUGAUGUUUGGGAUGGUGUUGAUCGGGGUCCAUUGGAGUGUAUAUGUGGCAACCGGUCUAUGAGGAGUUGGUUUCUUUCUGAUGCUCAGAAGGAAAUUCUACAUGCUAUAGGGCUUGGCGUGUUUGCCAAUCCCAAACUUAUACUUCAGACUGACGCCAGGCUAGCGACUGCUCUUGUUGAGAGGUGGCGUCCGGAGUCCAACACAUUCGUCAUGAGACAGGGGGAGAUGACUGUGACCUUGGAGGAUGUUGGUUACAUAUUGGGGUUGCCUAUUCAUGGUCGGCCUUUAGUGGGAGAUGCUAUUGACAACCAGAAGGACUAUUUUCCGAGAACUGGUUUGAGGAGUUGUCGACAGCUGACGUGGAGUUGGCUCAUACUAGGGGCAGGGAGAGGUACACAUGGUUGUUUGAGACGUACGGGAGAGAUGAUCCUGGUCCUGAUCCAGAGCGGAUUGCCAUCCACACGCAGGCUUAUUUGUUCGUUGUUGUAGGUGCUGUUCUUUUUCCUACUACUAGUAGGAAUGUGGUGCAUCCCCGAUAUCUCUGCCAUCUUCGCAGACUGAGGGAGGUUCCUACAUGGUCUUGGGGUUCGGCAGUGCUGUCUUACUUGUACAGGGGGUUGUAUCACGCCACACAGAAGGAGGCCAAAAAGAUAUCAUGUUGUGUGUGGUUGCUGAUGCUAUGGUCUUAUGAGAGGUUCCAGAUUGGUAAGGGACCUAUUCCCGAUGAGAGCAGGGACUCCUAUCCGGUAGCUGAGUUCUGGGCUAUGCCUGACGAGGAUGAGGAAGAGGACGAGG
rnacentral:lncRNA from 1 species